rnacentral:sRNA from 1 species
AUAUAAUAUUUUUUUUUUAAUUAUACUUUAAGUUUUAGGGUACAUGUGCAGGUUUGUUACAUAUGUAAACAUGCGCCAUGCUGGUGUGCUGCACCCAUUAACUCGUCAUUUAACAUUAGGUAUAUCUCCUAAUGCUAUCCCUCCUCCCUCCCCCAACCCCACAACAGGCCCCAGUGUGUGAUAUUCCCCUUCCUGUGUCCAUGUGUUCUCAUUGUUCAAUUCCCACCUAUGAGGGAGAACUUGCAGUGUUUGGUUUUCUGUCCCUGCGAUAGUUUGCUCAGAAUGAUGGUUUCCAUCUUCAUCAAUAUCCCUACAAAGGACAUGAACUCAUCUUUUUUUAUGGCUGCAUAGUAUUCGUAUAUGUGCCACAUUAUCUUAAUCCAGUCUAUCAUUGUUGGACAUUUGGGUUGGUUCCAAGUCUUUGCUAUUGUGAAUAGUGCCAAAAUAAACAUAUAUGUGCAUGUGUCUUUAUAAUAGCAUAAUAUAUAAUCUGUUGGGUAUAUAAGCAGUAAGGGGAUUGCUGGGUCAAAUGGUAUUUCUAGUUCUAGAUCCUUGAGGAAUCGCCACACUGUCUUCCACAAUGGUUGAAAUAGUUUACACUCCCACCAACAGUGUAAAAGUGUUCCUAUUUCUCCACAUCCUCUACAGCAUCUGUUGUUUCCUGACUUUUUAGUGAUUGCCGUUCUAAUUGGUAUGAGAUGGUAUCUCAUUGUGGUUUUGAUUUGCAUUUCUCUGAUGGCCAGUGAUGAUGAGCAUUUCUUCAUGUGUCUGUUGGCUCCAUAAAUGUCUUCUUUUGAGAAGAGUCUGUUCAUAUCCUUCACCCACUUUUUGAUGGGGUUGUUUGAUUUCUUCUUGUAAGUUUGUUUAAGUACUUUUAAGAUUCUGGAUAUUAGCCCUUUGUCCAGGUGGAUAGAUUACAAAAAUUUUUUCCCAUUCUGUAGGUUGCCUGUUCACUCUGAUGGUAGUUUCUUUUGCUGUGCAGAAGCUCUUUAGUUCAAUUAGAUCCAAUUUGUCAAUUUUGGCUUUUGUUGCCAUUGCUUUGGUGUUUUUGUCAUCAAGUCCUUGCCCAUGCCUAUGUUCUGAAUGAUAUUGCCUAGGUUUUCUUCUAGGGUUUUUAUGGUUUUAGGUCUAACAUUUAAGUCUUUAAUCCAUCUUGAAUUGAUUUUUGUAUGAGGUGUAAGGAAGGGAUCCAGUUUCAGCUUUCUACAUAUGGCUAGCCAGUUUUCCCAGCACCAUUUAUUAAAUAGGGAAUCCUUUCCCCAUUUCUUGUUUUUGUCAGGUUUGUCAAAGAUCAGAUAGUUGUAGAUAUGUGGCGUUAUUUCUGAGGGCUCUGUUCUGUCCCAUUGAUCUAUAUCUCUGUUUUGGUAUCAGUACCAUGCUGUUUUGGUUACUGUAGCCUUGUAGUAUAGUUUGAAGUCAGGUAGCGUGAUGCCUCCGGCUUUGUUCUUUUGGCUUAGGAUUGACUUGGCGAUGCAGGCUCUUUUUUGGUUCCAUAUGAACUUUAAAGUAGUUUUUUCCACUUCUGUGAAGAAAGUCAUUGGUAGCUUGAUGGGGAUGGCAUUGAAUCUAUAAAUUACCUUGGGCAGUAUGGCCAUUUUCACAAUAUUGAUUCUUCCUACCCAUAAGCAUGGAAUGUUCUUCCAUUUGUUUGUAUCCUCUUUUAUUUCAUUGAGCAGUGGUUUGUAGUUCUCCUUGAAGAGGUCCUUCCCAUCCCUUGUAAGUUGGAUUCCUAGGUGUUUUAUUCUCUUUGAAGCAAUUGUGAAUGGGAGUUCACUUAUGAUUUGGCUCUCUGUUUGUCUGUUAUUGGUGGAUAGGAAUGUUUGUGAUUUUUGCACAUUGAUUUUGUAUCCUGAGACUUUGCUGAAGUUGCUUAUCGGCUUAAGGAGAUUUUGGGCUGAGAUGGUGGAGUUUUCUAAAUAUACAAUCAUGUCAUCUGCAAACAAGGACAAUUUGACUUCCUGUUUUCCUAAUUGAAUACCUUUAUUUCCUUCUCCUGCCUGAUUGCCCUGGCCAGAACUUCCAACACUAUGUUGAAUAGGAGUGGUGAGAGUGGGCAUCCCUGUCUUGUGGCAGUUUUCAAAGGGAAUGCUUCCAGUUUUUGCCCAUUCAGUAUGAUAUUGGCUGUGGGUUUGUCAUAGAUAGCUCUUAUUAUUUUGAGAUACGUCCCAUCAAUACCUAGUUCAUUGACAGUUUUUAGCAUGAAGGGCUGUUGAAUUUUGUCAAAGGCCUUUUCUGCAUCUAUUGAGAUAAUCAUGUGGUUUUUGUCUUUGGUUCUGUUUAUAUGCUGGAUUAUGUGUGUUGAUUUGCAUAUGUUGAACCAGCCUUGCAUCUCAGGGAUGAAGCCAACUUGAUCUUGGUGGAUAAGCUUUUUGAUGUGAUGCUGGAUUUGGUUUGCCAGUAUUUUAUUGAGGAUUUUUGCAUCGAUGUUCCUCAGGGAUAUUGGUCUAAAAUUCUCUUUUUUUGUUGUGUCUCUGUCAGGAUUCGGUAUCAGGAUGAUGCUGGCCUCAUAAAAUGGGUUAGAGAGGAUUCCCUGUUUUUGUAUUGAUUGGAAUAGUUUCAGAAGGAAUGGUACCACCUCCUCUUUGUACCUCUGGUAAAAUUCAGCUGUGAAUCCGUCUGGUCCUGGACAUUUUUUGGUUGGUAGGCUAUUAAUUAUUUCCUCAAUUUCAGAGCCUGUUAUUGGUCUAUUCAAGGAUUCAACUUCUUCCUGGUGUAGUCUUGGGAGGGUGUAUGUGUCGAGGAAUGUAUCCAUUUCUUCUAGAUUUUCUAGUUUAUUUGCAUAGAGGUGUUUAUAGUAUUCUCUGAUGGUAGUUUGUAUUUCUGUGGGAUCGGUGGUGAUAUCCCUUUAUCAUUUUUAUUGUGUUUAUUUGAUUCUUCUCUCGUUUCUUCUUUAUUAGUCUUGCUAGUGGUCUAUCUAUUUUGUUGAUCUUUUAAAAAACCCAGCUCCUGGAUUCAUUGAUUUUUUGAAGGUUUUUUUGUGUCUCUAUUUCCUUCAGUUCUGCUCUGAUCUUAGUUAUUUCUUGCCUUCUGCUAGCUUUUGAAUGUGUUUGCUCUUGCUUUUCUAGUUCUUUCAAUUGUGAUGUUAGGGUGUCAAUUUUGGAUCUUUCCUGCUUUCUCUUGUUGGCAUUUAGUGCUAUAAAUUUCCCUCUACACACUGCUUUGAAUGCAUCCCAGAGAUUCUGGUAUGUUGUGUCUUUGUUCUCUUUGGUUUCAAAGAACAUCUUUAUUUCUGCCUUCUUUUCGUUAUGUACCCAGUAGUCCUUCAGGAGCAGGUUGUUCAGUUUCCAUGUAGUUGUGCAGUUUUGAGUGAGUUUCCUAAUCCUGAGUUCUAAUUUGAUUGCACUGUUGUCUGAGAGACAGUUUGUUGUGAUUUCUAUUCUUUUAUAUUUGCUGAGGAGUGCUUUACUUCCAACUAUUGGUCAAUUUAAGUAUAAGUGCGAUGGGGUGCUGAGAAGAAUGUAUAUUCUGUUGAUUUGGGGUAGAGAGUUCUGUAGAUGUCUGUUAGGUCUGCUUGGUGCAGAGCUGAGUUCAAAUCCUGGAUAUCCUUGUUAACUUUCUGUCUCGUUGAUCUGUCUAAUGUUGACAGUGGGGUGUUAAAGUCACCCAUUAUUAUUGUGUGGGAGUCUAAGUCUCUUUGUACAUCUCUAGGGAUUGGCUUUAUGAAUCUGGGUGCUCCUGUAUUGGGUGCAUAUAUAUUUAGGAUACUUAGGGGUGCAUAUAUAUUUAGGAUAGUUAGCUCUUCUUGUUGAAUUGAUCCCUUUACCAUUAUAUGAUGGCCUUCUAUGUCUCUUUUGAUCUUUGUUGGCUUAAAGUCUGUUUUAUCUGAGACUAGGAUUGCAACCUCUGCUUUUUUUUGUUUUCCAUUUGCUUGGUAGAUCUUCUUCCAUCCCUUUGUUUUGAACCUAUAUGUGUCUCUGCAUGUGAGAUGGGUCUCCUGAAUACAGCACACUGAUGGGUCUUGACUCUUUAUCCAAUUUGCUAGCCUGUGUCUUUUAAUUGGAGCAUUUAGCCCAUUUACAUUUAAGGUUAAUAUUGUUAUGUCUGAAUUUGAUCCUGUCAUUAUGAUGUUAGCUGGUUAUUUUGCCCUUUAGUUGAGGCAGUUUCUUCCUAGCAUUGAUGGUCUUUACAGUUUGGCAUGUUUUUGCAGUGGCUGGUACUGGUUGUUCCUUUCCGUGUUUACUGCUUCUUUCAGGAGCUCUUGUAGGGCAGGCCCGGUGGUGACAAAAUCUCUCAGCAUUUGCUUGUCUGUGAAGUAUUUUAUUUCUCCUUCACUUAUGAAGCUUAGUUUGGCGGGAUAUGAAGUUCUGUGCUGAAAAUUCUUUUCAUUAAGAAUGUUGAAUAUUGGCCCCCACUCUCUUCUGGCUUGUAGCGUUUCUGCUGAGAGAUCUGCUGUUAGUCUGAUGGGCUUCCCUUUGUGGGUAACCCAACCUUUCUCUCUGGCUGCCCUUAACCUUUUUUCCUUCAUUUCAACCUUGGUGAAUCUGACAAUUCUGUGUCUCAGGGUUGCUCUUCUCGUGGGGUAUCUUUGUGGUGUUCUCUGUAUUUCCCGAAUUUGAAUGUUGGCCUGCCUUGCUAAGUUGUGGAAGUUCUCCUGGAUAAUAUCCUGAAGAGUAUUUUCCAACUUAGUUCCAUUCUCCCCGUCACUUUCAGGUACACCAAUCAAAUGUAGAUUUGGUCUUUUCACAUAGCCCCAUAUUUCUUGGAGGCUUUGUCCAUUUCUUUGUACUCUUUUUUCUCUAAACUUCUCUUCUCACUUCAUUUCAUUCAUUUGAUCUUCAAUCACUGAUCACCUUUCUUCCACUUGAUUGAAUCGGCUACUGAAGCUUGUGCAUGCGUCACGUAGUUCUUGUGCCAUUGUUUUCACCUCCAUCUGGUCAUUUAAGGUCUUCUCUAUGCCAUUUAUUCUGGUUAGCCAUUCAUCUAAUCUUUUUUCAAGGUUUUUAGCUUGAUUGCGAUGGGUUCGAACAUCCUCCUUUAGCUUGGAGAAGUUUGUUAUUACCAACCUUCCGAAGCCUACUUCUGUCAACUCAUCAAAGUCAUUCUCCAUCCAGCUUUGUUCCGUUGCUGUCAAGGAGCUGUGACCCUUUGGAGGAGAAGAGGUGCUGUGGUUUUUAGACUUUUCAGCUUUUCUGCUCUGGUUUCCCCCAUCUUUGUCAUUUUAUCUACCUUUGGUCUUUGAUGAUGGUGACCUACAGAUGGGGUUUUGGUGUGGAUGUCCUUUUUGCUGAUGUUGAUGCUAUUGCUUUUGUUUGUUAGUUUUCCUUCUAACAGAUUCCUCAGCUGCAGGUCUGUUGGAGUUUGCUGGAGGUCCACUCCAGACCCUGUUUUCCUGGGUAUCACUGGCAGAGGCUUCAGAACAGCAAAUAUUGCAGAACAGCAAAUGUUGCUGCCUGAUCCUUCCUCUGGAAGCUUUGUCUCAGAGGGCCACCUGGCUGUAUGUGUCAGUUAGCCCCUACUGUGAGGUGUCUCCCAGUUAGGCUACUUGGGGGUCAGGGACCCACUUGAGGAGGCAGUCUGUCCAUUCUCAGAGCUUAAACUCCAUUCUGGGGGAACCACUGCUCUCUUCAGAGCUGUCAGACAGGGAAGUUUAAGGCUGUAGAAACUUCUGCUGUAGAAAGUUUCUGCUGCCUUCUGUUCAGCUAAGCCCUGCCCCUAGAGGUGGAGUCUACAGAGGCAGGCAGUCCUUGUUGAGUUGUGGCUGGCUCCACCCAGUUCAAGCUUCCUGGCCACUUUGUUUACCUAGUCAACCCUCAGCAAUGGCGGAUGCCCCUCCCCCAGCCUGUCUGCCGCCUCCCAGUUCGAUCUCAGACUGCUGCGCUAGCAGUGAGCAAGGCUCCAUGGGUGUGGGAUCCUCCCAGCCAGGUGCGGGAUAUAAUCUCCUGGUGUGCCAUUUGCGAAGACUGUUGGAAAAGUGCAGUAUUAGGGUGGAAGUGUCCUGAUUUUCCAGGUACCAUCUGUCAUGGCUUCCCUUGGCUAGGAAAGGGAAAUCCCCCAACCCCUUGUACUUCCUGGGUGAGGUGAUGCCCCGCCCUGCUUCAGCUCACCCUCUCCAUGGGCUACACCCACCGUGCAACCAGUCCCAAUGAGAUGAACCAGGUACUUCAGUUGGAAAUGCAGAGAUCAUCUGUCUUCUGUGUUGAUAAUGCUGGGAGCUGUAGACCAGAGCUGUUCCUAUUUGGCCAUCUUGGUCCCUCCCCUUGUUUUUUUUUCUGAUUUCAACUUGACAGCAGAACUCAGCCAUGCUGAUGCUGCAGACGCAUGUUGGUGGGAACUUUUCAUUGUUCGAUUCUGGAUUUAUGAUAAAUGGAUUCACUUACUAAAGUUUUGUAGAGAGAGUAACAACCAUUUAAUCACCUAGAUGAUAUUUCCUUUAUAAAAUCAAACAUAUCUGGUGGUUUUAGAGCAAUAUUUUUUACCUCAGUCACUUAUGUUUAUUAGACAAGAAUACUAAGUGUCAAGAUGUUUGCAUUGCCUUUCAUAUUUUUAUUUAGGGGACAGCGUAAUGAUAAAUGACUUUGAAUAUAUAACCAGACACACCUUCAUCCCCCUCCAAAUCUGUGCUAAUUUACUGUUUUUUAUAUUUCAUGUAUGAAGCUACAUUGUUUUUACCCAUGGAUUAAAGUAAAAUGAUACAAUGAUACCUGAAUCCUGGCCAAAUAACAUGAAAUGGCAACUGCCAAAUUGUUCUGCAAAAUUUUACAAGGUAUUAUGGUAUUGAGGAUAUCCCAAGAAAACUUGAGAGGCAUUAUCUUUCUCAUUGGAGACUGAUAUUCCUGUAUCAAGUAAAGUCUCAGGAAAAAGAACCAUGUGUGACUAUUUUAAUGUAACCUCUUGGUUGAAAUAAAAUGAUUAAAAGUAGUGUUUAUCUUGUUGAUAACUGAGAGGCAAAUAUUAAAAAUUUUGUUCUGAGAUGAAGAGAAUUCACAUGAUAAGUCUCUGGGAUGUGAACUAAACUGGGAGAGCACCAGGACCAUUUCUAAGACAUACAGUUAAUUAGGGUUUGGGUAAACAGAAUAAUGUUCCCCACUCCCUAAAAAAGAUAUUUACAUCCAAGUUCUUAGAUACUGGAAACACAUUACAAUUCAUGGCAAAGAGAAUAUAAGGUUGCAAAUGGGAUCAAAAUUGCUGAUAUGCUGAUGAAAAAGAAGAAGACUAUUAUGAAUUAUCAUGGUGGGCCCAGUAGAAUCAUAAGCAUCAAAAACCAUGGAAGAGUGAAGAAUAAACUGUAUCAAAGUGAUAGAUCAUGAGAAAGACUCAAUUGGAUAUAUUUUUAAUUGUUUGCUUUAGUGAGUCUUUCCACUUUAGCAUACAUUUUAUUCAGUUCAACUGUGCAAAUGUGAUUCAUUUUAUAUGCCUGUCACUAAAUUGGGUGCUAAAAAUAAAGUGAGAGAACACAAAAUAACAAAAAUUGAUUUCUAAAGAUGGAGGGCAAAGGGCAUUAGGAAUAUAGAUAGUGUGCACCCUAUACAGGCAUGAUUGUAAAUGUAUUCAUUAUAUAUAGAGUAGUAAUUAUAUAUAUAUAAUUAUUUGGUUUAGAAAAGAGUGCAGGGGGUACAUUAUUAAGAAUUUAGCGUCAAGGUUAAUCAAGAAUAAGUGAGUAAAAUGAAAAUAAUAGUGAUGGUAAUAAUUUCAAACACUGAAGGAAGAACAUUGAUGAUAUGAAGUCAUUUUUUUUCAGAUCUACAAAAUAUGUUUCUUCUAUGCCAUUAGGAUGAACACAGUUUUCACUUAUGUUAUCUUUUAAAAAUGCCUUUAAUUGUCAAGCUAGCAUUAGAAUCUCAGCCAACAUCUUCCUUCUUCUCUUCCACAUUUUUACAUUUUUUCAGGAUCACAGGCCUAAGACCCAUGACCUGGUCACCUGUCAUUUGGCCUUUAUCCACCUAGUAAUGCUCUUCACUGCAAUGGAGGUUUUGUCUCCAGACAUGUUUCAGUCACUGAAUUUUCAGAAUAACUUUAGAUGUAAAGCUUUUUUUUUUUUUUUAAGGUGGAGUCUCUCUCUGUUGGCCAGGCUGGAGUGCAGUGGUGCGAUCUCAGCUCACUGCAAGCUCCGCCUCCCGGGUUCACGCCAUUCUCCUGCCUCAGCCUCCCAAGUGGCUGGGACUACAGGCGCCCGCCACCAUGCCCGGCUAAUUUUUUUUGUAUUUUUUAGUAGAGGCGGGGUUUCACCGUGUUAGCCAGGAUGGUCUCGAUCUCCUGACCUCAUGAUCUGCCCGCCUCAGCCUCCCAAAGUGCUAAGAUUACAGGCGUGAGCCACCGCGUCCGGCCUAAAGCUUUCUUCUAUGUGCACAAGAUGAUGAGGGGCCUCUCCAUCUGCACCCCUGCCUCCUGAGCAUGCUCCAGGACAUUACCAUCAGCCUCAGCACCUCCUGGUUGGUGAGAUUUAAACAUAAAUUUACAAAAUACGAUAUCCUGGGCUUAUUCGUUUUUUGGUUUAGCAAUUUGUCUUUCAGUAGUGACAUGAUAAUCUACACUGUAGGUUAUUCCAAUGACCCAGAUAAUUUUGAAUAUCAGCAAAUAUUGCACAUUUUUCCCAAUGAAUGUCAUCAUCAGGGCGCUAUUUCUUAUGCUAUCAUUAUCCAGAGAUGCUUUCUUCAUAGGAAUCCCGCUGCUCUCAAGUGUAUACAUGGUCAUUCUUUUGUCCAGGCAUCAGACACACUCCCAGCACUUUCACAGCAGCAGCCUUAUAUUAAGGACCUCCCUAGUGAAAAUGGCCACCAAGACCAUCCUGAUGCUGGUGAAUUUCUUUGUGCUCAUGUACUCAGUGGACUUCAUCCUCUCAUCAUCCACAAUGCUGUUAUGGGUAAUUGGCCCUGUCACCUAUGGUGUCCACAAGUUGUGGUCAAUGUCUGUGCCACUGUCAGUCCUCUGGUGCUAAUCAGAGCUGAUAAAGGAAUCAUCAAUAUUCUGCAAACGUUUCAAUGGAAGCGCCAUCUAUUUUUAACAAGUUGGUGAUAAAAUUUUCUAAAAAUUAUUUCUUUGUAAUCCAUUAAAUUAUACAAAAAGCACAUAAUUUUCUUUCUGAUUUAAAUAAAACAUGUGAAUUGUACUUUUAUAAUAUCUCAAUAUCUUUUAAUUUUUUGGUGCCAAGAACUAUGUGCUUUCCUCAGUUCAAUGUCCACUAUGAUUUUGUAUUCUCAAGGUCUGUCUCUCAUCCCUUCAUUUUAAUUUUACCUUUAUACAGGAAAACGUUAUUUUCUUCUCGAGUACACUCUUACGCAGCUCCUAUUGGCAAGCAAAUCUCUUAGUUUUAAUUUUUGAAGUUAUUUUAAUUUUUCUUAUUUAUUGAAGAUAUUUAGCUAUAUUCAAAUUCUAGCUUGAAUAAAAAAUUUUUAAGCAUAAUUUUAAAAUUUGUUUUUAAUUAAAAAUAACAUUGUGUAAGUUUAUUAUGUAUGUUUUGAAUUACAUAUAGAUUAUAAAAUGAUUAAAUCUAGCUAAUUAACAAAUGCAUGAUCUAAAAGUUAUUAUUUUUUUGUGGUGAAAACACUUAACAUCAACUACCUUUUCAUUUUUCAGGACUGCUGCAAUAUAUCAUAAUUAAGUAUGGCUGCCGUGCUGCAUAACGGAUCUUGUAAAAUGUAUUUCUCCUACCUAAUUGUAAUUAUGUUUCCUUUGACCAACAUCUUUCCAUCCUGUCCUCCCCACUAACCACCCCAGGCUCUGGUAACCACCAUUCUACUCUCUACUUCUAAGAGAUAAGCUUGUUUAGAUUCCACAUUUGAAUAAAUUCCUGUGUUAUUUGUCUCUCUGUGUCUGGCUUAUUUCACUUGACAUGAUGUCCUUCAGGUUCAUCUAUGUUGUCUUAAAUGGCAGAAUUUUAUUCUUUGAUGGGCACUGUGAUUGAUUCCAUAUCUUGGCCAUUGUCAAUAGUGCUGCAAUAAACAUGGGAGUGUAGCUAUCUCUUUAACAUACUGAUUUUAUUUCUUUUGGUUAUAUGCCCAGUUGUGGAAUUGCUGGAACAUACAGUAGUUCUAUUUUUGGGUUGAGAAACUUCCAUACUUGUUUUUCAUAGUGGCUGUAUUAAUUUGUAUUCAAACCAACAGUUUAUAAGAGUUCCCUUUAUUCCACAUCCUUGCCAACACUUGUUCUCUUUUGUUGUUUCGAUUAUGGCCAUUCUAGUUAAGAUAAGGUAAUGUCUGGUAUUGUUUUGAUUUGCAUCUCCCUGGAGGUGAUAAAUGCCAAGACAGAGAAACUGGGAGAUACAAGAGGACAGAAAUGACUCAGUGAUAAACACCAUGGCUUCUCACCCACAAUCGGCACACUCUGAUCCUCUAACCAAAUGACAAGCCACAGUUCAAUUACUCCUUUUAAAGAAAAAUGAGAAAAAAGAUCUCUAAAAACAAGGACAGGCAAGGAGAGUGUCCCCCUUUGGCACCCCAGUUGGCUUUAUGUGUGAUAAUUAUAGCACUUCUUCUUGCAAACAUUUGUGUAAAGGGAGGAUUUUACUAAGGACGACCAAUAUCUAAGGUUCCCAAAAUGAAGAACUUUAAAUAUUCCCAAACUGGUCUUCUUGUAUGCUAAAUUAGAGAAGUUAGAUUUCUGCAUCAAGGAAAAUAAAUGAGGGUUGUAUUUUAGCUGGCACCUAAAACCAUCCAAAAGUGGAAAUGAUAAACUUAUUUCUUUCCAGAAAGGUAACAACAAAAUAUUUGAAACUACCUCAGAAUUAAAGAAAAGUAGCAAAAUCAGCUUCUAAAAUCAGGAAGCUGCCAGAAACUGUCUCUUCUUUUCCUUCCCCUAAACCUCUGCUUUCUAAACUUCCUUGCCUGGAUGAUUUCAUUUUUUUUCUCUUUCUCCUCCCUGUAUUCCUUCUUCUUAAACCACAAAGGGUCCAGAAAUAGCUACAGAAGAAGACAAAAUAGUAGUCAUUUCUUUUAAAACAAAACCCACAGGAAGAGUGGGUUCAAACAUAAGAUAUACACCUUACACCAAGUCAGAAUUAAGUGCUCUGAUGUUUGGAUUUCCUGAUCUGACUCAAGACACCUUAGGUUUGCCAAGGAAUUCCAAAUAAUGCUUAAGACCUAUGAUUCAGGGUUUUCAAACCAAUAUCAGCUAAUUGAUUUACUAGUCCUCCAAACAAAGCCAAAGAAUGCUACAAGGUAGUGAAUUAGAAACAGCUUUAGCAGAUUUUAACAAACUAAAGUGCAAAUGGGAGAGAGAAGUGUAGGGAGUUUUGCAACUGCCUCUGUGGGAAUUUACCACAGCUAUUCCCCGUAAUCCUAUAGACUGGGCAAAAUACAACAAUGUAAUAUACACCCCAGCAAAACCAUACCUGAUUAUUAUAUCACAUUUAUUUUUAUUUUUUGUGAGUAUACAGUAGUUGUGUGUAUAAAUGGGGUACAUGAGAUACUUUGAUACAGGCAUGCAACGUGUAACAAUCACAGCAUGGUAAAUGGGGUAUCCAUCUCCUCAAGCAUUUAUUCUUUGUAUUACAAAAAUUGAAUUAUAUUAUUUCAGUUAUUUUAAAAGAUACAACUAAAUUAUUAUUGAUUAUAAUAAUUGUCAAUUAUUGACAAUUGCAGUGUUGUGGUAUCAAAUACCACUGUUGUGCUAUCAGUACGAACUGUGCUAUCAGUACAAAUACUACUGUUGUGCUAUCAGUACAAACUGUGCUAUCAGUACAAAUACUACUGUUGCGCUAUCAGCACAAAUACCCUGUUGUGCAAUCAGAUAGUACCUCUACCUCUUAUUCAUUCUUUUUAACUAUUUUUUGUACCCAUUAGCCAUCCUCACUUCCCUCCAUGCCCCUACCAAACUGCCCCCCUACUAUGCUUCUCAGCCUCUGGUAACCAUCCUUUUACUCUCUAUCUCCAUGAGUUCAACUCAAUGGGAUCCUUAGCGCCCAUAAAUAAGUGAGAACAUGCAAAGUUUGUCUUUCUGUGCCUGGCUUAUUUCAUUUAACAUAAUGACCCUCAUCCAUGUUGUUACAAAUGACAGAAUCUCAUUCUUUUUUUCGGCUCCACUGUGUAUACAUACUACAUUUUCUUUAUCCAUUCAUCUGUUGAUUGACACUUAUGUUGCUUCCAAAUCUUGGCUGUUUUCAACAAUGCUGCAACAAACAUGGGAAUGUAGACAUCUCUUCAAUAUACUGAGUUCCUUUCUUGUGAGUAUAUACUUAGCAGUGAAAUUGCUGGAUUAUAUGGAAGCUCUAUUUUAGUUUUAUGAGGAAUCUCCAAGCUGUUUUCCAUAGUGGUUGUACUAAUUUACAUUUCCACCAACAGUGUACCAGGCUUCCUAUUUCUCCACAUUCUCAGUAGCAUUUGCUGUUGCCUGACUUUUGGACAAAAUUCAUUUUAACUGGGAUAAGAUGAUAUCUCAUUGUAGUUUUGAUUUGCAUGUCUCUGAUAAUAUACCUGCUUGCAAUUUAUAUGUCUUCUUUUAAGAAAUGUUUAUUGAAAUAUUUUGCCCAUUUUAAAAAUCAGAUUACUAGAUUUUUUUCCUAUACAGUAGUUUGAGCUGCUUAUCUGUUCUAGUUAUUAAUCCUUUGUCAGGUGAAUAGUUUGCAAAUAUGUUCUCCUAUUCUGUGGGUUGUCUCCUCACUUUAUUGAUCAUUUCCUUUGACAUGCAGAAGAUUUUUAACUUGAUGUAACUUCAUUUGUCCAUAUUUGCUUUGGUUGCCUGUGCUUGUGGGGUAUUACUCAAGACAUUUUUGGCAAGACCUGGAGAGACUUUCCGCAAUGUUUUCUUGUAGUAGUUUUUUAAUUUGAGGUCUUAGAUUUAAGUAUUUAAUCCAUUUUGAUUUGACUUUUGUAUAUGGCAAGAGUUGGGGUUAUAGUUUCAUUCUUUUGCAUGUAGAGAUCCAGUUUUCCAAGCACGAUUUAUUGAAGAGAUUGUCUUUUCCCUAAUUUAAGUUCUUGGCACCUUUGUUGAAAAUGAGUUCAGUGAAAAUGUAUAAAAUUUUUUUCUCGGUUAUCUGUUCAAUUCCAUUGGUUUAUGUGUCUAUUUUUAUGCCAGUACCAGGCUGCUACAGUUACUAUAGCUUUGUAAUAUAAUUUGAAGUCAGUUAAUGCGAUUCCUGCAUUUAAUCUGUGAAUUGCUUUGGGUAAUAUAGACAUUUUAACAUACUAACACUUUCAAUCCAUGAACAUCGAAUAUCUUUCAAUUUUUGUGUCUUCAAUUUAUUUUAUGAUUGUGUUAUAGUUUUUGUUGUAGAAAUCCUUUACUUCUUUGGUUGAUUUCUAUGUAUUUAGUUCUAUCUGUGGCUAUUAUAAAUGGUAUUUCUUUUUAAUUUCUUUUUCAGAUUGUUCACUCUUGGCUUAUAGAAAUGCUACUGAUUCCUGCUGGGCGCGGUGGCUCACACCUGUAUCCCAGCACUCUGGGAAGCCGAGGCAGGCAGAUCACCAGGUCAGGAGAUCGAGACCAUACUGGCUAACAUGGUGAAACCCCGUCUCUACUAAAAAUACAAAAAAAAUUAGCUGGGCGUGAUGGUGGGCUUCUGUAGCCCCAGGUCCUCGGGAGGCUGAGGCAGGAGAAUGGUGUGAACCCAGGAGGCGGAGCUUGCAGUGAGCCAAGAUUGCGCCACUGCACUCCAGCCUGGGUGACAGAGCAAGACUCUGUCUCAAAAAAAAAAAAAAAAAAAGAAAUGCUACUGAUUUUUAUAUAUUGAUUUGUAUCCUGAAAUUCUACUGGAUUUAUCAGUUCUAGUAGUUUUUGUGGAGUCACUAGGUUUUUUACAAAUGUAAGAUUAUAUCAUGUGCAAACAAGGAUAAUUUGUCUUUUUCCCUUCUAUUUAGAUGCCCUUUAUUUCUCUCUCUUGUCUGAUUGCUCUUGCUAGGACUUCCAGUACUAUGGAGAAUAACAGUAGUGAAAGUGGGCAUCCUGGUCAUGUUCCAGAUCUUAGAAAAGGGGAUUUCAGUGUUUCCCCUGUCAGUAUGAUACUAGCUGUGGGUAUGUCAUAUAUGGGUUUUAUUAUGUUAAUAAUGUUCUUUCUCUACCCAGGUUUUUGAGGGUUUUUAAUCAUGAUGGGAUGUCGAAUUUUAUCAAAUGCUUUUUUUUAAAUGCCUUAAUUUAAAUGAUUAUAUAAUCUUUUCCUUCAUUUUGUUGAUGUGAUUUAUCAUAUGGAUUGAUUUGCAACCAUUCUUGCAUCCUUGUGAUAAAUCACAAGGAUGUGAUAAAUCACGAGGAUGUGAUAAAUCACACAUGAUCAUGAAGAAUGAUAUUUUUAAUGUAUUGCUUAAAGGUUUGCUAGCAUUUUGUUGAGGAUUUUUGCAUCAAUAUUAAUUGGAGAUAUUAUAGUUUUCUUUUUUUAAAGUGUCUUUGAUUUUGGUAUAAAGGUAAUUCUGGUGUUAUAGAAUGAGUUUGGAAGUAUUCCCCAUCUCUAUUUUGUGGAAUAGUUUCAGUAGGAUUGGUGUUAGUUCUUUAAAUGUUUGUUAGAAUUCAGUAGUGAAGCCAUAGAAUAUUGGGCUUUUCUUUACUGGGAGACUUUUUAUUACAGCUAUGAUCUCAUUAUUUGUUAUUGGUCUGUUCAUGUUUUGUAUUUCUUUGUGUUUCAAUUUUGGUGUGUUUCUUGGCCCUAGUCUGGCCCACUCAGACCUGCUCCAUGCUCACCAUCAGGUAGCUGGUGGUCCUUGAAGAGUGAGUGCAGCAGGGACCAGAGGUUGGGCUGAAGCCCCUUUGCCUCAUGCGGACUGUCCAAUACUCAUUGAACUUCAUGGUGAGGGACAGAGGACCCACCCUGGCUCUCAGUGGGAGAGCAGGGAGUCCUUGUUCAAGGAAGCCCCUGGGACAGCCGCAGGAGGCAGCCCUUGGGAAAAAGUGCCCAAAGGCCCCCCUUGACCAGCCAUCCUGCCUCCUCCGCAGGACCUUCUCUUCCCCUCUUUCCCUCCCUUCUGAGGUGAAAAGGAGAGGAGGAGGCCAUGGAGCCCACUGUGUCAGGGAAACCUGGCCCUUCCUUUUGAGCAUCCAGGAGACUCGCAUGGGUCUCGCCCCUUCUCCAGGACCUGGAAGCUUCUCUCCCUGAAGAGCCCUGAGUUCCAGUCUCAAGUGUCUCUUCCCUAUUGCUUCCUGCUUCUCCUUUUGUCCCCACCACCGCCACCUGGGGCUCACACUCCCUGCCUUUGGGUUUCAAAUGCUGUACUAUGUGCUUGACCCACUAGCCUGCUUAAUCUUCAAAAUCACUCUAUCAAAAAGACAUUUAAGGCUGGGCAUUGUGGCUGAUGCCUGCAAUCCCAGCACUUUGGGAGACCCAGAUGGGCUGAUUACUUGAGUGUAUGAGUUACAGACUAGCCUGGGCAACAUAACAAGAUCCUGUCUCUACAAAAAUAGAAAAAAAUUAGUGGAGUGCUGUGGCACAUGUCUGUAAUCCCAACUACUUGGGAGGCUGAGGUGGGAAGAUUGCUUGAGCCUAGGAUGUCGAGGCUGCAGUGAGCUGAGAUCGCGUCACUGCACUCCAGCCUGGGCAACAAGCUGAGACCCUGUCUCAAAAUAAAAAUAAUUUAAAAAGUGAAAUUGCCGAAAUCAUUCAUUUAACCAAUAAGAUGAGCACCUACCUACCAGGGACAAUAAAAGUUUAAAGGUGCCAACAAUUAUGAAGGCAGUAUUGAAUUCACUUGAAAUAUGAAGAACACCACAUUGGGUGAAUUUAGGUAGCAAGGCCAAGGAGACAUUCCUAGGAAUGUUAUUAUAUGUGGGAAAACACUGAAAAAAGACACUGCAAUGUUUGAGAAAAUAAUGGCCAUAGAAAGAGAUUUCAUGGACCUCCCAGCUUAUGAAAAAAUCAACUGAAAUUGCUUAACAUUAGAACAUUAAAAAGGAAAAAUAAGCCAUUAUAUAAGGAGAGAAUUGGAAUAGGGGACAGGAAUGACCCAUUUCCCGGUCUCUGCCUAGAACAGGGCUGGGGAAAUAUCUGCGGUCAUCACAUUCACCAUUGCAUAAACACAUAUUCUUUCAAUAUCUCAGCAAGGAGCAAGUGCUACCAAGACAAGGCAAGGAAAAGGAAUAGAGAAUAUUGCUGGGUGCUUUUCUGUAGGGUGAUCAGGAAAGGCCUCACUGAAAAAGAGACAUUAGAGCAAAGCAAGUGAGAGAGAGAGAGUCAUAGAAAGAUCUGUGGGAAGAGCAUUCCACGUGAGGGCAACAGAUACUGCAAAGGCCCCGAGGCAGGGAGUGCUUGGCAUGUUUGAGGAUCCAGAAAAAGGCCAGUGGGGCUGGAAUGGAGUGAGUGAGGAGUAAUAGGGGCAGAACACAUACGGCCUUAGAGAUCAUGGCUCUAGGUGUUUUGUUUUAUUUUCCAAUUUUUAAAAUCGUGUUAAAAUACACAUAACAUAAAUUAUAGUAGUUUAACCUUGCUUGAGUGAAGAGUUCAGUAAUAUUAACAUUCAUAUGGUUGUGCAACCAUUACCACCAUCCAUCUCCAGAAUUCUUUUCAACUUGUAAAACUGAAACCCUCUAUCAUUAAACAAUAGCUCUCUGUUUUCCCUUCCACCCAGCACCAGGCAAGCACCAUUCUACUUUCUCUCUCUAUGCAUUUGACUAUUCUUGGGACCUUAUAAAAGCAGAAUCUAUGGUAUUUGUCUUUUCUGACUUAUUUCACUUACUCUAAUAUCUUCAGGGUUAUUUUAAUAUCAUUUGUCAGAAUUACCUUCCUUUUGAGAAAUGAAGAGUAUUCCAUUAUGUGUAUAGACCACAUAUUAUUUAUCCAUUCAUCUGUCAUGGACAUUAGAGUUGUCGCCACAUUUAAGCUAUUAGUGAAUAAUUCUGCUAUGACCAUAGAUGUACAAAUAUUUCUUUGACUCUGCUUUGAAUUUCUUUGUGUAGACACCCAGAAGGGAAGUGCUGGAUCAUGUGAGCCUCCACUCCACUGUCUGCAGUCAUCCUUGAGCCUCCACUCCGCUGUCCCCAGAGCUGUCAUUGAUGUUCCACCUUACUAUCUUGGAGCUGGUCUGAGUCUGCACCCUGCUGUUCUUGGAGCCUAGAAAGCCCACCAGGGCUGGCCAAACUCCACCCCUCCGUUGGUCUCUCCUCCCAGGCAUCAGCACUUUGGAAAAGCCAUUAUGUACCUUUUAAUAUCUACGAAAGGUGCCUCAGGAAGGCAUGGAGAGGUCACCACCUCCAGGUUAUGGUGUCUCACCUGUGUCCACUGGCCCCAUGCUGGCCCUUUAAGGGGUAAGAGCAGAACAGGCUGGGAGACUACACCUCUUUUCUCAGAGUGGCCAUAGAUAAAGCCAGAAAGCGGACAGGAGAAUGUGGUGCUGAGGGCAGAGGCCCCUCCCCACAGGUGCUGAGCAGAUCGGGCGAGGAGGAGCUUCCAGCCUCCAUCCAGGCAGGACUUCUGACCACUGCUAGAGGCCCCUUCUCAGGAGGUCCUGUCCCAGCCAAGGGCCAGCUCCAGAGACUUUUGUCCAUUUUCCCCAAGAUGGACAUGAUGCAGGUGGCUGCGUCUGGGCCCUAGAACUUUUGGGACUGAGCUGUGGUGAAGACAGGAGGGGACUGUGGGCCCUGGAUGUCCCUGUGCAGCCUAUGCCUCUAGCUUGGACCAUUCACCGCCCAGGUGCCUCCUCACCAGGUCUCCAAGCCCCACUGGUCAUGUGAAAGGCCACGGGGCAGGGCUGGGAUGGGUUCAGGGCUCCAUAUGCUUCCUGAGAGGGCUGAAGGGUUGCAUCCCCCCAGAGCAGCCCAAGGCAUAGUAGCCACUGCCACCCCACUCAGUCUCGGUGAGCAGGCUUGUCGGGGAUGUAGGGGCCUGGUCCUCCAGUGUCAGGUAGGCAGGCAGCAGUGCCUCUCACUCCUCACACUCUGCUGGCAGCAUAUCCUCCAAACUUGGGGCCCCUAGGAGGUGUCCCCAUGCCCUCCUGCUCUCCUCCAGGCUCACAGAUUUCCAGGGACAUGCUGAGUCACAGGCGAGUACUGCAGUGGCCUCUCGCACAGUGAAUUCCAAGGCUCCUUGCGAGGUGCUGGCACAGUCGUGACUCGGCUGCACACUGGCCCUGUGGGCCCCCAUCCAGGUCUGGAGCAGAGUAUGGGAUGAGGAAAGGGCUCAGGCAGCAUGAUCAGAACUCACCCUGGGAGUGGCAGCCUCCUCCUCAGCAGGCCCUCCCUCCUCCUCCAAGAAGCCCUCCUGAUGUCCACACCCAGAGGCCAAGCAGCACCUGUGCCAGGAGCAUUCUGUCUUCCUAUGUGCCAGCUCAGCCUCAACAUGGGACCCUGAGUCUCUUCAGUCCCCUCACUGCUCCCCUAGCACAGAGCCUGGUGCUCACAGCAGCCUGCACCAGGGUACAAAUGGUGACAUGUGCUGAGGAAAAAACAAACACCUGGCAGCAUGCAGCAUGUGUCCCAGGGCCUUUCAGCAGCUACAGAGACUGCGUACCCCCACCUGAAUAAUUUUCUCUGUCUCUCUCUCUCUCACACACACAUAGCACGACGGACAGGUGACACGAAGACUGGUGACUUUCAAGGUGCUUGGGAAAGGCCAGCAGACCUGAAUCCUUCUGUGGGGACACAGGAGACCUCUGCUUCCAAAAGGAAGCUCUUCCCUAGGUGGGACCGGAAGUAUCUACCCAACAUGCCACACACACACCACACCCUCCAUCACUGCAUCACUGCUCCCUGCCAGACCCUCACCCAAGGCCUAAAUAAUCCCUGGCAGAUGCCCUGGUUCUAUAGAGAAGGGCUGGUGCCUGCAAGGGGAUGACACAGGCCAGGGUACGAUCACAACCUCUGCCCUGCUCAGACUUGUCCUCAGCUGCCCAGGCUCUUGACAGUCACAUCUGCCACUGUGAAGAAAGACGGGAACUCUGCCAAGACCCAAGUGCUCAGUUUUAAGCUUUAAAUUAUAUUUUUGAACAACAAUCCUAAGAACUGGGCUUCCUGUUAAAAGGGAAAACGAUUUUUUCUGCAUAAUAUGCUGGCAAUACUGUGUGGAGGGGAUGUCUCUGCCACACAGGGUCCAGGGAAACCCUGCAGCACCAGGAAAGGAGAUCCUGGUGUCACCCUACAAGGAAGAAGCUGAGACAAAGUUAAUCUUAGUAGAGAGUUUAUUUGAGACAGACUUCAGGAUUGCAACUCUGGAGCACAGAUUCAAGUUAUCCUGAAUAUACAUUCCAAUUAGCAGCAGUUAUGAGCUGAUUUUUAAAGGCAAAACAAGGAGGACAGGGAAGGGGCGGAUACAAUUCCUCAGGAAUUUUAGUUGGUUCAUAGCAAUAACACUGCUUAGUGAUGGGCUGUACACUGUUAAGCUAUAGGGUGUGGGGUAUGGCGUCUGGUGUGGCAUUAUGAGGUAAAUUCAUAGCUACUUCUGGCAACAGCAGUAUCAAGAAAUGAAUACACAGCUCAAUGUGAGGGAGUAGGACAUGACUGUGGUCUCUCAUUUUAAUGCCUCUUUCUGGGCCUGAUAAUUAAAAGCACUUGCAUUUCUCAGAUAAAAGUUAUUUUAUUUUCCUGACUGGUAAAGACCCAGGUCAGCUUGGUCCAGACCCCAGGGAGAGGCCCUCAUGCCCUGUGUCCUUUGCCCAAAGUGAGAAGCCUGAGGGAGCACAGUGGAGCCCACCCCCUGGAGCUCUCCCUCUGCUCUUCCUCCUACCCACGGGGCAUGAACUGCCAGCUCAGCAGGGAGGGGAGGGUCCUAUGUGACCCCCAAGUAGUUCGCUGAUACAUGGGCUGUGGGAGCCAGACAAGGCCCACAGAGGGGGAAAUGCAGAGCCCAUUCCUGACUCUGGUGCCAAUGUGUGACCCCAGGGGAAUCGAAGGGGUGGGCAGACCAGGAGCCCAGGGUCAGUGAGGGUCCCAAGGGCAGCACAAGUGCUAGAGACUCUCCCCCACAGCCACCGGACAGACAUUCACAGAAGGAGGAGGUGAGACCCAUGGUGGGCACAGAUAGCUGCAAACCAGAGGAAACAGAGAUAAGUUAUGAGAAACUUAUAUAUUUUUUCCAUCAACCAUGGAAUGGAAGACACAAGAAAAAUAAAUCAUCAAUGGAAAAUGAAGUGAUUUUUUUUGUCCACUUGAGACACAGAGGAUAAAUUUAAAUUCACUUUAUACACACACAAAAAAGGCUCAAAACACUGGUAAGUCCCCUGCAGUGGCCCCCAACUGUCAUCAAAGCCAACAUCCUGGGCAGGCUAGACCUUGGGGCAACACCUGCCCUCCAUGCCCUGUGGCAGUCUCUACACUCUCCUGAAGUUCCCAUUGUGCGCACUGUAGGGGGCUGGAAGAAUGUUGCUGGAGAGGACAUAUUCUGGAAGAGGGUUCUUUCCACCCUGAGGCCAGGAGAAGACAGUCAGAGGCCCACGGGGACCCAGGUAGGGGCUCCUGCUGAGGCCCCAGUUGGCAUGAGGUCACUGCAGGGGCUGAGCUCCCUUCCAACCAGGAAGAGCUCAUCUGCCUCAUUCCUGCCACUGCCUCUCUCCCCUCUCACCCCAUCCAAACCUACUCUCAGGGCAGGAUCCAACUGGGUACCCUGUGGCCUCCUUGGCUAACUGAUUUAUACUAAGGUAUGUGUCCUUUACAGUGUGAGCUGAGAUGGUGAGUUUAGAAUUGACUCGCCAUGACUGCAGCCUGCAGAAGGAGCCAGCACCUCCAGGAACCCCAUUCUUGCCAUCAGCAGAGGGUCUAUGGCUCCCACCUCAUCCAGUGUCUCCCUGAGCACCAUGUCUGCCUGACCAGGACCCAGUGGUCCUCCCAGGAGGAUGUUGCCUAGGGCUCCAACCCAAUAGGUCCAAAUACACCUCACCAACCUCCCCUCAGGGCUGUCCCCCCAUUCCCCACCUCAGGGUCGGGUCACUACGCAUAUCUCAUCCACCCACAUGUCUCCUCAGUCUCAAGACUCUGCAAUUUCCUCCAUGUGGCUCCAUCUCCACUUUUCUCACGAGCUCAAGCCAAAUCUUAUCUCUAUGGACAUCCCACUGGCCCUCAUCAGGUCCCCCAUGUCUACUUGUUCCCACAAUCCAUUCUCAAACAUAAAGCAUAACAUGUCACAGUUUCACACUCUUCAGCACUUUCCUUUGCUCUAAGGAGAAGCCAGGCACCCACUCACCUGGCCCCACCCAGCACCCCCAUCCCCACACACUCUUCCUUGCAUUCUCCCUGCUACCUGAUGGGGCCCCUGUGCCCCUCUUGUAAGCUCACAUGCAGUGCACAUUGGGGAUGGCUUCCUGAAGAGGACCCUUGUCUGUCCUGUUCUCUAAGACAUCUGCAGGGGCAAGAACAGAUCCUGUGCAUUUCAGAUGCCUCCAACUGUGCUUUCACACAAUGUGUGAACAAAGAAGCAAACCAAGCUCCUCGACAGGCAGGAGACAAGGACCUCCGGCUUCUUGGUCCCCGUGACACCGGGUCUGGUUGAGGCCAAGCCGCCCUCAUCUUUGACCUCUUCUCUCCUUCCCUUCUCUCCCCCGGCAACAUGAGAAACUCCAAAUGGCCCAGGGAAGGAACUUUUAAAGCCCACCCCAACCAGGAUAAGACAGUGGGGCAUAAAUGGGAGGAGAGGGGUUGGCUCUCGGUGCCACACUCAACGAACACUCACACAUGCACACACUGAUGCGUGCACACAUGUGACGUAAGUACACACCUGCACACAGUGAAACCCCAAUACAUUAACACACAUACACAACACAAGCAGGCCCAAACCCUCACUCUGAAACCUAACCCCAGCCCCAAACUGCAACCUGGAACUCAAGUCCUAGCCUGAACCUUGACCCCAAACCCCACCUCAAGUCAGAAGGUAAACCAUGGGCCGAAUCCCGAACUGGAACUCAAACCCCAGCAGGAACCUGAACUCUUCCAUUGUUUUUCCUCAUCUGGCACAUGGGACUCAGCACCUGAGACUCUGCUGUGGCCCUCUGAAUGAGCUGCGCCCCUCGUCCUUGUCCUCCCCACCAGCUGCACUCCCUGUCCCCCCUCUCCCAAGGAGCCACCCAGCCCAUGUCCCCGGCCCCGGUGGUCCCGAUGAGAUGCACCCAGGCUGACCCAGGGUGCAAAUCCCCAACCCAAUCCCCAACGCAAACCCUGAACCAGAGGCCUCGUCUAAACUUUAAUUCCAAACUCCACCUCAAAUUGGAACCGGAACCACAGGUGGAAGCCUGAACCGGAACUCAAAGCCCAGCUGGAACCUGAACCCCGCCCUCGCCCGUGAGCGCCUGCGCCCGGGUCCCGCCCUCCCACGAGCUUCACCUCUGACCCCGACCUCCCCUGGAACUGCGCUUUCUACCCCGCAGUCCCAGGGAGCCGCAAGCCGUCCCUCUCACCCCAUCUCCAGCAACGCCCUCUCCCCCUGUCUCCCCCACCUUCACUGUGGGCUGCGGCCCCCAUUUCCCUGCCGUACCCCUCACCCUCCCGGGAGCUGUGCCCACCUGACCCGGCAUUUGCGCCUUUGUCUUCGUGGCCCGGAAGUGGCCCCGCCGGCGGAAGCAUGAGAAAUGGCCACGUGCUGUACAGCGGCUGGCUGAGGAAGUCGCCCCCCGAGGAGAAGCUGAGGCUCUUUGUGAGUGCCGGCAGUGGGGGCGGGACCAGGAGUGCCACGGAGGGUCUGGGGGCUCCGGGACGGGCGUGGGGGAGGCGGCCUGGGUCCACGGGAGGAGCUGCGGGUGGAGGCGACUUCUCCACGUCUGCAUGCGAAGGUGACUCCCCGCCAGCGAGAGACAGGGUCCAGGUUUGUGUGGGUUGCGUUCCGAGACCCAGGGAGUUGAUUCCGGGGCUGGGGACCCUAUUACCCUGAGCGCCGUGGGCCUGCAGUUCGGAGAGUGGGCGGGAAAGGGGACACAGCAGGCUCCGCAGCCUCGCAAAGGGCAGGAACCUCGCACCCGCUCCCCUUCCCUCCCAGGCCCCGAGAAUUGCAGGCACCUCGCACCCUCUCUCAUUCCCUCCCAGGCCCCAAGGAAGGCAGGCGCCUUAAACCUGCUCACCUUCCCUCCCAAGCCCCAAGAAGGCAGGCACCUCACACCCUCUCCCCUUCCCUCCCGGGCCCCAAGAAAACGCGGGCACCUUGCACCCGCUCCCCUUCCCUCCUCGCCCGCCACUCCUGGGGUCGUUCGCGUCCUUCCAUGCCACCACGCCUGCGGAGGGACAGUGUGCACUGCAGUGUAGUUUUCUAUAUAUUAAUUCAUGUGGCUAAACGAUUUAGAAAAAAAGAAGAUUGGUUGCCCUUCCUCCUAGUGGCUAAUUUGAAGAGUGUUGUUCUAAAUUUCAACAAUUUUACUGAGGAAACAGUAAUUGUUAGGAGUCAGAAUGAUUAUACCAAGGUACAUAGAAGAGGCUUUUCUCUCCUGUUCCUUAGCCCCAGGUCCAGCCCUUCAAGAAUCUAUUCCAGAAUAAGCUGAUCCUAUAGUCAUCUUCCCUUUCCUCUGCUUCCCUGAGGUAUGCGGUAUGAUCAAUUCUGCGUUCUUGUCUUUCUCCAUUUGUUUUUUCAAUUUUUUAUUAUACUUUAAGUUCUGGGAUACAUGUGCAGAACGUGGAGGUUUGUUACAUACAUAUACACAUGUCAUGGUGGUUUGCUGCACCCAUCAACCCAUCAUCUACAUUAGGUAUUUCUCCUAAUGCUAUCCCUCCCCUUGCCCCCCAACCCCAAUAGGCCACAUUGUGUGAUGUUCGUCUCCCUGUGCCCAUAUGUUCUCAUUGUUCAGCUGCCACUUAUGAGUGAGAACAUGCGGUGUUUGGUUUUCUGUUCCAGUGUAAGUUUGCUCAUGUCCCUGCAAAGGACAUGAGCUCAUUCUUUUUUAUGGCUGCGUAGUAUUCCAUACUGUAUAUGUGCCACAUUUUCUUUAUCCAGUCUAUUAUUGAUGGACAUUUGGGUUGGUUCCAAGUCUUUGCUGUUGUGAAUAGUGCUGCAAUAAACAUAUGGGUGCACUUGUCUUUAUAGUAGAAUGAUUUAUAAUCCUUUGGGUAUAUACCCAGUAAUGGGAUUGCUGGGUCAAAUGGUAUUUCUAGUUCUAGAUCCUUGAGGAGUUGCCACACUGUCUUUCACAAUGGUUGAACUAAUUUACACUCCAACCAACAGUGUAAAAGCAUUCCUAUUUCUCCACAUCCUCUCCAGCAUCUGUUGUUUCGUGACUUUUUAAUGAUGGCCAUUCUAACUGGCAUGAGAUGGUAUCUCGUUGCAUUUCUUUAGUGACCAGUGAUGAUGAGCAUUUUUUCAUGUUUUUUGGCCACAUAUCUUCUUCUGAUAAGUGUCUGUUCAUAUCCUUUGCCCACUUUUUGAUAGUGUUGUUGUUUUUUUCUUGUAAAUUUGUUUAAAUUCCUUAUAGAUUCUGGAUGUUAGCCCUUUGUCAGAUGGAUAGAUUGGAAAAAAUUUCUCCCAUUCGAUAGGUUGCCUGUUCACUCUGAUGAUAGUUUCUUUUGCUGUGCAGAAGCUCUUUAGUUUAAUUAGAUCCCAUUUGUCAAUUUUGGCUUUUGUUACCAUUGCUUUUGGUGUUUUAGUUAUGAAGUCUUUGCCCAUGCCUAUGUCCUGAAUGAUAUUGCCUAGGUUUUCUUCUAAGGUUUCUAUGGUUUUAGGUCUUAUGUUUGUCUUUAAUCCAUUUUGACCCCGACCUCCUUCAGAACUGAGUUAAUUUUUGUAUAAGAUGUAAGGAAAGGGUCUACUUUCAGUUUUCUGCACAUGGCUAGCCAGUUUUCCCAACAUCAUUUAUUAAAUAGGGAAUCCUUUCCCCAUUGCUAGUUUUUGUCAGGUUUGUCAAAGAUCAGAUGGUUGUAGAUGUAUGGUGUUAUUUCUGAGGCCUCUGUUCUGUUCCAUUGGUCUAUAUAUCCGUCUUGGUACCAGUACCGUGUUGUUUUGGUUACUGUAACCUUGUUGUACAGUUUGAAGUUGGGUAGCGUGAUGCCUCCAGCUUUGUUAUUUUUGCUUAGGAUUGUCUUGGCAAUGCAGGCUCUUUUUUUGGUUCCAUAUGAAAUUUAAAGUGGAUUUUUCUAAUUCUGUGAAGAAAGUCAAUGGUAGCUUGAUUGGAAUAGCAUUGAAUCUGUAAAUUACUUUGGGCAGUAUGGCCGUUUUCACAAUGUUGAUUCUUCCUAUCCAUGAGCAUGGAAUGUUUUUCCAUUUGUUUGUGUCCUCUCUUAUUUCCUUGAGCAGUGGUUUGUAGUUCUCCUUGAAGAAGUCCUUCACAUCUCUUGUAGGUUGUAUUCCUAGGUAUUUUAUUCUCUUGGUAGCAAUUGUGAAUGGGAGUUCACUCAUGAUUUUGCUCUCUAUUUGUCUGUUAUUGGUGUAUAGGAAUGCUUGUGAUUUUUGCACAUGGAUUUUGUAUCCUGAGACUUUACUGAAGUUGCUUAUCAGCUUAAGGAGUUUUUGGGCUGAGACGAUGGGGUUUUCUAAAUAUAGAAUCAUGUCAUCUGCAAACAGAGACAAUUUAACUUCCUCUUUUCCUGUUUGAAUACCUUUUAUUUCUUUCUCUUGCCUGAUUAUCCUGGCCAGAACUUCCAAUACUAUGUUGAAUAGGAGUGGUGAGAGAGGGCAUCCUUGUCUUGUGCCAGUUUUCAAAGGGAAUCCUUCUAGCUUUUGCCCAUUCAGUAUGAUAUUAGCUGUGGGUUUGUCAUAAAUAACUUACUAUUUUGAGAUAUGUUCCAUCAAUACUUAGUUAAUUGAGAGUUUUUAGCACGAAGGGGUGUUGAAUUUUAUCGAAGGCCUGUUCUGCAUCUAUUGAGAUAAUCAUGUGGUUUUUGUCAUUGGUUCUUUUUAUGUGACAGAUUGCGUUUAUUGAUUGUUUGUCAUAAAUAACUUAUUAUUUUGAGAUACGUUCCAUCAAUACUUAGUUUAUUGAGAGUUUUUAGCAUGAACGGGGUGUUGAAUUUUAUCGAAGGCCUUUUCUGCAUCUAUUGAGAUAAUCAUGUGGUUUUUGUCAUUGGUUCUUUUUGUGUGAUGGAUUACAGUUAUUGAUUUGCAUAUGUUGAACCAGCCUUGCAUCCCAGGAAUGAAGUUCACUUGAUCUUGAUCUAUAAGCUUUUUGAUGUGCCUGGGUUUGGAUUGCCAGUGUUUUAUUGAGGGUUUUUGCAUUGAUGUUCAUUAGGGAUAUUGGCCUGAAAUUUUCUUUUUUUGUUGUGUCUCUGCUAGGGUUUUGUAUCAGGAUGAUGCUGGCCUCAUAAAAUGAGUUAGGGAGGAGUCCCUCUUUUUGCAUUGUUUGGAAUAGUUUCAGAAGGAAUGGUACCAGCUCGUUUUUGUACCUCUGGUAGAAAUCGGCUGUGAAUUGGUCUGGUCCUGGGCUUUUUUUGUUGUUGUUGACAGGCUGUUAAUUACUGCCUCAAUUUCAGAAUUUAUUAUUGGUCUAUUCAGAGAUUUGACUUUCUCCUGGUUUAGUCUUGGGAGGGUGUAUGUGUCCAGGAAUUUAUUCAUUUCUUAUGAAUUUCCUAGUUUAUUUGCAUAGAGGUGUUUACAGUAUUCUCUGAUGGUAGUUUGUAUUUCUGUGGGAUCAGUGGUGAUACCUCUCUAUCAUUUUUUGUUGUGUCUAUUUGAUUCUUUUUUGUUGUGUGCAUUUGAUUCUUUAUUAGUCUGGCUAGUGGUCUAUCUAAUUUUUUAAAAAACAGCUCUUAAACUUACUGAUUUUUUGAAGGGUUUUUUUGUGUCACUAUCUCCUUUAGCUCUGCUCUGAUCUUAGUUUGUUUUCUGCUAGCUUUUGAAUUUGUUUGCUCUUGCUUCUCUAGUUCUUUUAAUUUUGAUGUUAGGGUGUCGAUUUUAGAUCUUUCCUGCUUUCUCUUGUGGGCAUUUAGUGCUAUACAUUUCCGUCUAAACACUGCUUUAGCUGUGUCCCAGAGAUUGUGGUACAUUGUGUCUUUGUUUUCAUUGGUUUUAAAAAAAAUCUUUAUUUCUGCCUUGACUUUAUUAUUUACCCAGUAAUCAUUCAGGAGCAGGUUUUUCAGUAUCCAUGUAGUUGUGCAUUUUUGAGUGAGUUUCUUAAUCCUGAGUUCUAAUUUGAUUGCACUGGGGUCUAAGAGACUGUUACGAUUUCCAUUCAUUUACAUUUGCUGAGGAGUGUUUUACUUCCAAUUAUGCAGUCAAUUUUAGAAUAAGUGAGUGCUAUGUGGUGCUUAGAAGAAUGUAUAUUCUGUUGAUUUGGGGUGGGGAGCUCCGUAGAUGUCUAUUAGGUCCACUUGGUCCAGAGCUGAGUUUAAGUUCUGAAUAUACUUGUUUCAUUUCUGUCUUGUUGAUCUGCCUAAUAUUGACAGUGGGGUGUUAAAGUCUCCCACUAUUACUGUGUGGGAGUCCAAGUCUCUUUCUAGGUUUCUAAGAACUUGCUUUAUGAAUCUGGGUGCCCCUGUCUUGGGUGCAUAUAUGUUUAGGGUAGUUAGCUCUUCUUGUUGCAUUGAUCCCUUUACCAUUAUUUAAUGCCCUUCUUUUCUUUUUUGAUGUUUGUUGGUUUAAAGUGUGUUUUAUCAGAGACUAGGAUUGCAAACCCUGCUUUCUUUGGUUUCCGUUUGCUUGGUAAAUAUUCUUCCAUCCCUUUAUUUUGAGCCUAUGUGUGUCUUUGCACAUCAGAUGAGUCUCCUGAAUACAGCAUACUGAUGCAUCUUGACUCUAUCCAAUUUGCCAGUCUGUGUCUUUUAAUUGGGGCAUUUAGCCCAUUUACAUUUAAGGUUAAUUUUUUUUUUAAUUAUACUUUAAGUUUUAGGGUACAUGUGCACAACAUGCAGGUCUGUUACAUAUGUAUACAUGUGCCAUGUUUGUGUGCUGCACCCAUUAACUUGUCAUUUAACAUUAGGUAUAUCUCCUAAUGCUAUCCCUCCCCUUUCCCCCGCCAAAAACAGGCCCUGGUGUGUGAUGUUCCCCUUCCUGUGACCAUGUGUUCUCAUUGUUCAAUUCCCACCUAUGAGUGAAGACAUAAGGUUAAUAUAGUUAUGUGUGAAUUUGAUUCUGUCAUUAUGAUGCUAGCUGGUUAUUUUGCCUGUUGGUGCAGUAUCUUCAUCAUGUCGGUGGUCUUUACAUUUUGGUAUGUUUUUGCAGUUGCUGGUACCAGUUUUUCCUUUGCAUAUUUAGUGCUUCUUCAGGAGCUCUUGUAAGGCAGGCCUGGUGGUGACAGAAUCCCUUAGCAUUUGCUGGUCUGUAAAGGAUUUUAUUUCUCCUUCGCUUAUGAACCUUUGUUUGGCUGGAUAUGAAAUUCUGGGUUGAAAAUUCUUUUCUUUAAGAAUGUUGAAAACGGAGGUUCCAAGAUGGCCAAAUAGGAGCAGCUCCAGUCUGCAGCUCCCAGCAUGAGCGAUGCAGAAGAUGGGUGAUUUCUGCAUUUCCAACUGAGGCACCGGGUUCAUCUCACAGGGGCUUGUCAGAUAGUGGGUGCAGCCCAUGGAGCAGGGUAGGGCAUUGCCUCACCCGGGAAGCACAAGGAAUCAGGAAUUCCCUUUUCUGGCAAAGGGAAGCCGUGACAGAUGGUACCUGGAAAAUCAGGACACUCCCACCCUAAUACUGCACUUUUCCAAUGGCCUUAGCAAACGACACACCAGGAGAUUAUAUCCCGCGCCUGGCUUGGAGGGUCCCAUGCCUACAGAGCCUUGCUCACUGCUAGCACAGCAGUCUGAGAUCAAACUGCGAGGCAGCAGCCAGGCUGGGGGAGGGGUGCCCGCCAUUGCUGAGGCUUGAAUAGGUAAACAAAGAGGCCUGGAAGCUCGAACUGGGUGGAACCCACCUCAAUUCAAGGAGGCCUGCCUGCCUCUGUAGACUCCACCUCUAGGGGCAGGGAAAAGCUGAAAAUUCUGAAAAUCAGAGCGCCUCUUCUCCUCCAAAGGAAAGCAGCUCCUCUACAGCAGUGGAGCAAAGCUGGAUGGAGAAUGACUUUGACGAGUUGACAGAAGAAGGCUUCAGACAAUCGGUAAUAACGAACUUCUCCGAGCUAAAGGAGGAUAUUUGAACCCAUCGCAAAAAAGCUGAAAACCUUGAAAAAAGAUUAGGCAAAUGGCUAACUAGAAUAAACAGUAUAGAGAAGUCCUUAAAUGACCUGAUGGAGCUGAAAAUCAUGGCACGAGAACUACAUGACACAUGCACAAGCUUCAGUAGCCUAUUUGAUGAAGUGGAAGAAAGGGUAUCAGUGAUUGAAGAUCAAAUGAAUGAAAUGAAGCGAGAAGAGAAGUUUAGAGAAAAAAGAGUAAAAAGAAAUGAACAAAGCAUCCAAGAAAUAUGGAACUAUGUGAAAAGACCAAAUCUAUGUCUGAUUGGUGUACCUGAAAGUGACGGGGAGAAUGGAACCAAGUUGGAAAACACUCUGCAGGAUAUUAUCCAGGAGAACUUCCCCAACCUAGCAAGGCAGGCCAAAAUUCAAAUUCAGGAAAUACAGAGAAUGCCGCAAAGAUAAUCUUCGAGAAGAGCAACUCCAAGACACAUAAUUGUCAGAUUCACCAAAGUUGAAAUGAAGGAAAAAAUGUUGAGGUCAGCCAGAGAGAAAGGUUGGGUUACCCACAAAGGGAAGCCCAUCAGACUAACAGCUGAUCUCUCGGCAGAAACUCUACAAGCCAGAAGAGAGUGGGGGCCAAUGUUCAACAUUCUUAAAGAAAAGAAUUUUCAACCCAGAGUUUCAUAUGCAGCCAAACUAAGCUUCAUAAGUGAAGGAGAAGUAAAAUCUUUUACAGACAAACAGAUGCUGAGCGAUUUUGUCACCACCAGGCCUGCCUUACAAGAGCUCCUGAAGGAAGCACUAAACAUGGAAAGGACAGCUGCAGGGCCACUGCAAAAACAUCCCCAAUUGUAAAGACCAUUGAUGCUAGGAAGAUGCUGCAUCAACUACCGAGCAAAAUAACCAGCUAACAUCAUAAUGACAGGAUCAAAUUCACAUAUAACAAUAUUAACCUGAAAUGUAAAUGGACUAAAUGCUCCAAUUAAAAGACACAGACUGGCAAAUUGGAUAAAGAGUCAAGACCCAUCAGUGUGUUGUUUUCAGGAGACACAUCUCACGUGCAGAGACACACAUAGGCUCAAAAUAAAGGGAUGGAGGAAGAUCUAUGAAACAAAUAGAAAACAAAAAAAAGCAGAGGCUGCGUUCCUAGUCUCUGAUAAGACAGACUUUAAACCAACAAAGAUCAAAAGAGACAAGGCCAUUACAUAAUGGUAAAGGGAUCAAUUCAACAAGAAGAGCUAACUAUCCUAAAUAUAUAUGCACCCAAUACAGGAGCACCCAGAUUCAUAAAGCCAAUACUUAGAGACCUAGAAAGAGACUUAGACUCCCACAUAAUAAUAAUGGGAAACUUUAACACCCCAUUGUCAACACAGAUCAACGAGACAGAAAGUUAACAAAGAUAUCCAGGAAUUGAACUCAGCUCUACACCAAGCGGACCUAAUAGACAUCUACAGAACUCUCCACCCCAAAUCAACAGAAUAUACAUUGUUCUCAGCACCACAUCACACUUAUUCCAAAAUUGACCACACAGUUAGAAGUAAAGCACUCCUCAGCAAAUGUAGAAGAACAGAAAUGAUAACAAACCAUGUCUCAGACCACAGUGCAAUCAAACUAGAACUCAGGGUUAAGAAACUCACUCAGACCUGCUCAACUACAUGGAAACUGAACAACCUGCUCCUGAAUGACUACUGGGUACAUAACGAAAAGAAGGCAGAAAUAAAGAUGUUCUUUGAAACCAAUGAGAACAAAGACACAACACACCAGAAUCUCUGGAACACAUUUAAAGCAGUGUGUAGAGGGAAAUUUAUAGCCCUAAAUGUCUACAAGAGAAAGCUCUAAAAGAGAAAGAUCUAAAAUUGACACCCUAACAUCACAACUAAAGGAACUAGAGAAGCAAGAGCAAACACAUUCAAAAGCUAGCAGAAGGCAAGAAAUAACUAAGAUCAGAGCAGAACUGAAGGAGAUAGAGACACAAAAAAUGCUUCAAAAAAUCAAUGAAUCCAGGAGCUGGUUUUUUGAAAGAUCAACAGAAUUGAUAGACCUCUAGCAAGACUAAUGAAGAAGAAAAGAGAGAAGAAUCAAAUAGAUGCAAUAAAAAAUGAUAAAGGGGAUAUCACCACCGAUCCCACAGAAAUACAGACUACCUCCAGAGAAUACUAUAAACACCUUUAUGCAAAUAAACUAGAAAAUCUAGAAGAAAUGGAUAAAUUCCUGGACACAUACACCCUCCCAAGACUAAACCAGGAAGAGGUUGAAUCUCUGAAUAGACCAAUAACAGGUUCUGAAAUUGAGGCAAUAGUUAAUAGCCUACCAACCAAAGAAAGUCCAGGACCAGAUGGAUUCACAGCCGAAUUCUACCAGAGGUACAAAGAGGAGCUGGUACCAUUCCUUCUGAAACUAUUCCAAUCAAUAGAAAAAGAGGGAAUCCUUCCUAAUUCGUUUUAUGAAGCCAACAUCAUCAUGUUACCAAAGCCUGACAGAGACACAACAAAAAAAGAGAAUUUUAGACCAAUAUCCCUGAUGAACAUCGAUGCAAAAAUCCUCAAUAAAAUACUGGCAAACCGAACCCAGCAGCACAUCAAAAUGCUUAUCCACCAAGAUCAAGUUGGCUUCAUCCCUGGGAUGCAAGGCUGAUUCAACAUAUGCAAAUCAAUAAACGUAAUCCAUCAUGUAAACAGAACCAAAGACAAAAACCACGUGAUUAUCUCAAUAGAUGCAGAAAAGGCCUUUGACAAAAUUCAACAGCCCUUCUUGCUAAAAACUCUCAAUGAACUAGGUAUUGAUGGGACGUAUCUCAAAUUAAUAAGAGCUAUUUAUGACAAACCGACAGCCAAUAUCAUACUGAAUGAGCAAAAACUGGAAGCAUUCCCUUUGAAAACUGGCACAAGACAGGGAUGCCCUCUUUCACCACUCCUAUUCAGCAUAGGUUGAAUAGUGUUGGAAGUUCUGGCCAGCACAAUCAGGCAAGAGAAAGAAAUAAAUGGUAUUCAGUUAGGAAAAGAGGAAGUCAAAUUUUCCCUGUUUGCAGAUGACAUGACUGUAUAUUUAGAAAACCCCAUCGUCUCAGCCCCAAAUCUCCUUAAGCUGAUAAGCAACUUCAGCCAAGUCUCAGGAUACAAAAUCAAUGUGCAAAAAUCACAAACAUUCCUAUCCACCAAUAACAGACAAACAGAGAGCCAAAUCAAGAGUGAACUCCCAUUCACAAUUGCUUCAAAGGGAAUAAAAUACCUAGGAAUCCAACUUACAAGGGAUGUGAAGGACCUCUUCCAGGAGAACUACAAACCACUGCUCAAUGAAAUAAAAGAGGACACAAACAAAUGGAAGAACGUUCCAUGCUCAUGGGUAGGAAGAAUCAAUAUCGUGAAAAUGGCCACACUGCCCAAGGUAAUUUAUAGAUUCAAUGCCAUCCCCAUCAAGCUACCGAUGACUUUCUUCACAGAAUUGGAAAAAACUACUUUAAAGUUCAUAUGGAACCAGAAAAGAGCCCACAUUGCCAAGACAGUCCUAAGUCAAAAGAACAAAGCUGGAGGCAUCACGCUACCUGACUUCAAACUAUACUACAAGGCUACAAUAACCAAAACAGCAUGGUACGGGUACCAAAACAGAGAUAUAGACCAAUGGAACAGAACAGAGCCCUCAGAAAUAAUACCACACAUCUACAACCAUCUGAUCUUUGACAAACCUGACAAAAACAAGAAAUGGGGAAAGGAUUCCGUAUUUAAUAAAUGGUGCUGGGAAAACUGGCUAGCCGUAUGUAGAAAGCUGAAACUAGAUCCCUUCCUUAUAUCUUAUACAAAAAGUUAAUUCAAGAUGGAUUAAAAACUUAAAUGUUAGACCUAAAACCAUAAAAACCCUAGAAGAAAACCUAGGUAAUACCAUUCAGGACAUAGGCAUGGGCAAGGGCAAGGACUUCAUGACUAAAACACCAAAAGUAAUGACAACAAAAGCCAAAAUUGACAAAUUGGAUCUAAUUGAACUAAAGAGCUUCUGCACAGCAAAAGAAACUACCAUCAGAGUGAACAGGCAACCUACAGAAUGGGAGAAAAUUUUUACAAUCUACCCAUCUGACAAAGGGCUAAUAUCCAGAAUCUACAAAGAACUUAAACAAAUUUACAAGAAAAAAUCAACCCCAUCAAAAAGUGGGCAAAGGAUAUGAACAGACACUUAUCAGAAGAAGACAUUUAUGCAGCCAACAGACACAUGAAAAAAUGCUCAUCAUCACUGGCCAUCAGAGAAAUGCAAAUCAAAACCACAAGGAGAUACCAUCUCAUACCCGUUAGAAUGGCAAUCUAAUGGGUUAAAAAGUCAGGAAACAACAGAUGCUGGAGAGGAUGUGGAGAAAUAGGAACACUUUUACACUGUUGGUGGGACUGUAAACUAGUUCAACCAUUGUGGAAGACAGUGUGGCAAUUCCUCAAGGAUCUAGAACUAGAAAUACCAUUUGACCCAGCCAUCCCAUUACUUGGCAUGUACCCAAAGGAUUGUAAAUCAUGCUGCUAUAAAGACACAUGCACACGUAUGUUUAUUGCGGCACUAUUCACAAUAGCAAAGACUUGGAACCAACCCAAAUGUCCAUCAAUGAUAGACUGGAUUAAGAAAAUGUGGCACAUAUACACCAUGGAAUACUAUGCAGCCAUAAAAAUGAUGAGUUCAUGUCCUUUGUAGGGCCAUGGAUGAAGCUGGAAUCCAUCAUUCUCAGCAAACUAUUGCAAGGAGAGAAAACCAAACACCGCAUGUUCUCACUCAUAGGUGGGAAUUGAACAAUGAGAACACUUGGACACAGGGUGGGGAACAUCACACACCGGGGCCUGUUGUGGGGUGGGUGGAGGGGGGAGGGAUAGCGUUAGGAGAUACACAUAAUGUAAAUGGUGAGUUAACGGAUGCAGCGCACACCAUGGCACAUGUUUACAUAUGUAACAAACCUGCACGUUUUGCGCAUGUACCAUAUAACUUAAAGUAUAAUAAUAAUAAAAAAAAGAAUGUUGAAUAUUGGCCCUCACUCUCUUCUGGCUUGUAGGGUUUCUGCAGAGAGAUCUGCUCUUAGUCUGAUGGGCUUCUCUUUGUGGGCAGCCCAACCUUUCUUUCUGGCGUCCCUUACCAUUUUUUUCCUUCAUUUCAACCUUUGUGAAUCUGACAAUUAUGUGUCUUGGGGUUGCUCUUCUUGAGGAGUAUCAUGGUGGUGUUCUUUGUAUUUCUUGAAUUUGAAUGUUGGCUUGUCUUGCUAGGUUGGGGAAGUUCUCCUGGAUAAUAUCCUUAAGAAUGUUUUUCCAAUUUGGUUCCAUUCUCCCUGUCAUUUUCACAUAUACCAAUCAAACAUAGAUUUGACCUUUCACAUAGUCCCAUAUUUCUUUGAGGCUUUGUUCAUUCCUUAAGUUUUUUUUCUCUAAUCUUGUCUUCAUGUUUUAUUUCAUUAAGUUAAUCUUCAAUCUCUGAUCCGCUUGAUCAAUUCGGCUAUUGAUACCUGUUUAUUUUUCACGAAGUUCUCAUACUGUCUCUUUCAGCUUCAUGAAGUUAUUUAUGUUCUUCUCUAAACUGGUUAUCCUAGUUAGCAGUUCCUGUAACCAUUUAUCAAGAUUCUUAGCUUCCUUGCAUUGGGUUAGAACAUGCUCCUUUAGCUCGGAGGAGUUUGUUUUUACCCACCUUCUGAAGCCUACUUCUGUCAGUUCGUCAAACUCAUUCUCCAUCCAAUUUUGUUCCCUUGCUGGCAAGGAGUUGUGAUCUUUUGGAGGAGAAGAGGCAUUCUGGAUUUUUGGAAUAUUCAGCCUUUUUGCCGCGGUUUUUCCUCAUCUUCGUGAAUUUGUCUAUUUUUGGUCUUUGAUGUUGGUGAUCUUUGGUUGGGGUUUUUGCGUGGGUGUCCUUUUUGUUGAUGUUGGUGCUAUUGCUUUCUGUUUGUUAGUUUUCCUUCUGACAGUCAGGCUCCUCUUCUGCAGGUCUGCUGGAGUUUGCUGGAAGUCCACUCCAGACGCUGUUUGCCUGGGUAUCACCAGUGGAGGCUGCAGAACAGCAAAGAUUGCUGCCUGCUCCUUCCUCUGGAAGCUUCGUCCCAGAGGGGCACCCUCCAGAUGCCAGCUGGAGCUCUCCUGUAUGAGUUGUCUGUCAACCCCUGCUGGGAGAUAGCUCCAGGGACCCACUUGAGGAGGCAGUCUGUCCCUUAGCAGAGCUCAGGUGCUGUGCUGGGAGAUAAACUGUGCUCUUCAAAGCCACAGGCAGAACGUUUAAGUGUAAUGAUAUUGAUAUACAACAUGGAUGCAGAAGGAUUUCCAGUAAAUUACAGGCACUGGAAGAAAGUGUUGGGAGGAUGAAGACUGGAGCUGAGCAAUCCACAGCUUUCAAGGAUCUGCUUACAGAUUUGGGAAACUGUAUUCCAUUAUCUGCCCAACUAUCUUUGCAGAGUCAUCCUCAUCACUGUUCCCUCUCCUCUACCCUCAGCCCAAAUUCUACACGUAAAGCAAUAUUGGUGAGAGAACAAGCAGAGCCCGUGAAACCAGGCUGCUGGGCUUGAAGUCUUGCUCUGCCACUUUAUGACCAAGGCGUUUAUAGGAUGAAUGCAAAGUUGGCUUAACGUUUAAAAACAGGCCAGUGCAAUUCAUCACAUUAAGAGAAUAAAGAAGAAAAAUCACCUGAUCAUCUGAGUAGAUGCAAAAAAGUAUUUACCAAAUUUCAACAAACCAUAGAAAAUUAGUUCUAUCUAUGAAAAACCUACAGCUAACAACAUUCUUAAUCAUAAAAUACUGAACGUUUUACCCUAAGAUCAUGAACAAAGCAAGGAUGUCUGUGCGUAUGACUUUUAUGCAGUGUUGUACCAAAGGGUCUAGUCAGUGUAACAAGCAUUAAAAAGAAAUGAAAGUCAUACAGAUUGUAAAAGAUGAAGUAAAUUUGUCUUUAUUCUCAAAAGACAUGAUUAGAUAUACAGGAACUUCUAAGAAAUCUGCUUCAAAAAACCCUCCCAGAGCUAGGUGAAUAUAGCAAGAUCACAGAAUUUAAGGUGAACAUAUAAACUUAAUAUAUGGAAAUACAGCUGCAUAAUUUACACAAAAUUGGAAUAAUGCAGUAGCAUAAAAACCCUUACAAUAUAUGAGAGUAAACACCAGCUAGAGUAGUAACAGUACACCUGCUAUGCUCACACUACAUGUAUAUACAUAACACCUGCACCACGCACACAGAAUCGUGAAGGCAGCAGCCUCAGCAAGACUUCAGGUGACUGUAAAUAAGUAGCACUUAUUCUUAUGUCCCUCAGCUCUAUCCUGUCUGGCUAUGCCUCAAUCUUCAAUCUUUUUCAAUCCAAGGCUUAUUGGGUAUGGGUUAUGCUGGGAGAUUAAGUGAGGCCCAGGAGUUGAUAUAGCAGCAAUGAAGUCUUUGGGACCUUCCAUGAGUCAUUUUAGUGGUGCAGAAGGGGAACAGCCUGAUUAGAGUGAUUUCACAAAACAGGAGAAGAGGAAAUGAAGAUUAGCAGUGAGGAAACUCUUCAGAGUUUUAAGGUAAAGAGGGUAGAAAAACUGGGCCAUAGUUGGAAGAGAAUGCGGGCUGAAACCAAGUUUUUAAUUUUUUUUUCUAAGAUGGGAGAAAUUUGUGUCUUGAUGGGAAUGAUCCUAGUAGAGGUGGAGAACUGUUGAAGUGAUGUCCGUUUGUGAGCGAGAGGGUGUUCACAAAUGCAAGAAAGUUGGCCUUAGAAUGGACGAAGUCUCUUUGCUCCCCAGUGACAAGGUCCAGGGCUAUAGGCACAGGCAGGCUGGUGGAUGUGGAGGCGGAUCAGGUGCAGAUUCUCUUUGCAUUGCUUAUAUUUUCUCAUGGAAUAAGAAACAAAGAAAUAGGCGCGUUGGAAGUUUAAAGGGAGAGAAGUUGAGAAAUUGUUGCAAAACACUAGGAGAAAACCAUGAACUAGGUAAAUAUGGUAGGACAUUGGGCCACAUGAGGGCCCCUUGAAGUUAAAGUGAGACCAGGCAGCAUGGUUGUGUAUUUCUUUCCAGCUGUUCAUAGCUGAAUGGGAACAGGUGGAAUAGACAAAGCAUUAGGCUUAGCCAGGGGCUGUGGUUUUGCCAGAUAAAUAAGAGGAAUGGAGAAAGAUGCAAGGGUAUGAUUAUAAUAGAGCUAUGGAAAGGAAGUUUGAUAAGGGGGAAAAUAACAGGGAUAAAAGGUGAGUGGGAAAAGGUGGUAGGAGUCCUAGAGUGUAGGACUCUCCUGGGUUCUAAAGAGUUGUGAUAAUAACCCAGUGCUUGGCAUCUGUAGUCCUUCAGGGUUGUAUACCAAGUGGUUUGAGUUUGUUUGCAUAAUAAAACUAUGAGGUACUUAGUGCAGAUGGUGGUGGUGGUGAUUCCAAUAGCCGAGACAAGCUCCAAAGAGGUAAAUGGCUUACUGGAAAGUCACACCUGGAGCCAGUGGAGAAGCAUAGACUCAUCCACAGUUCUCUACCAUGGGUAGUCUCUUAUCCCUGUGUGUGGUGUCUGCUCAUGGAUCAUUCAGUCUUGUUGAAGAGAUGGAAGGUAGAAGACAGCCUAAGAGAAAAUGUAAUAAUGCAUUCAAUUCUAUGGGAUGGAGUAGUAUAAGGAGUUUAUCUGAUCAGUAAUACUAUUACAAGUACUAGGGAUAUAGCGGUGAACAAGAUAGAAAAAAGGUCUCUCAGUGCUUUGGGAGGCGGAAGCAGGAGGAUCACACGAGGCCAGGAGUUGAAGAUGAGCCUAGGCAACAUAGUGAGACCCCAUCUCUGCAAAAAAAUAUAUUAAAGAAUUAGCUAGGUAUGGUGGUGUAUGCUCUAGUCCUAGCUACUUAGGAGGCUGAAGUGGGAUGAUUACCUAAGCUCAGGAAUUAGAGGCUGCAGUGAACUGUGACUGUGCCACCAUUGCACUCCAGCCUGAGUGACAGAGUAAGAUUGUGUCCCUUAAAAAGGAAGCAUCCUGAAGUCCUGUGCUUCAGAGAAGUUUUAGAAGGGUUUCUCUGUGACUCUUCUAAAGCAUCAUGAUAUGGUAAAAAGCACAUUUUACUAAAAGUUGGGAAACAUGUUUUUCUGCUACUUGUUUACUGCUACUACUUCUGCUUCUGACAUUGUUGCUUCAACUCACCAUGCUUAGUGGAGGUCCCCAUCUAUAAACUAAGGUGUUGUGGCUUUGAGAGUUCUACUCUGUCUAAAAGUGCUAUGCAUUGAGGUCAGUGUUCUAGCCUAAUGAAAUUGUUGCUAUAAAGUGUCCUCACCCAACCUCCUGCUCUAAAGUGUGGAAAUGCACAUCUUAUUUUGUAGUGAUGAAACUGUUGACAUAGUGAGAUGCUGCAGUAAAAUGCAAAGUCACUCUCCACCUUUGAAACUCUGGGGAAAUCUGAAAGGGAGACAUAGGCUGAGUGCAGGUCCAAGUCUCACCCUUAACUUAGUGAUGUCUCAGACCUGUUAAAAGCUUUGUAAUAACAAAUGAAUGCUUCCCCUCUUCUUACUCCUUCCUUAGGCCUGGAGGAAACGCUGGUUUAUCCUGCGGAGGGGCCAGACUAGCAGUGACCCAGAUGUUCUGGAAUACUACAAGAAUGAUGGCUCCAAGAAGCCCCUGCGCACCAUCAACCUGAACCUCUGUGAGCAGCUGGAUGUUGGUGUGACUCUGAACUUCAACAAGAAGGAGAUUCAGAAGGGCUAUAUGUUUGACAUCAAGACCAGUGAGCGUACCUUUUACCUGGUGGCUGAGACCAGGGAGGACAUGAACAAGUGGGUCCGGAGCAUCUGUCAGAUCUGCGGCUUCAGGCAGGUUGAGGAAAGCACAGGUAUGGGAGCACACACAGCCCUGUCUCAGGAGGGGCUGAGAUGAGGCCCUCCAGUCUCCAGCAAGGAGGGCAGCUCUAGCUGCCAACACUGCCAAGAAGUGUUGGGCUCGUGAUGAAGCUAAAGGCAUUUUUGGUGUUUCUUCAGACACCUCGAUACCACUACCAUCCUCAGUCCUCCACCUCUCCCCCUUCCCUGAGCUCUCUGCACUUUGCCCUGUCACCUCUCAGCCACCUGUAGGGAAGACCUCUCCUUUGCCCUCUACUGAUCCGUCUCUGGCUGUUCUGGCCCACCUACUUCAGACCGCCUGGCACAGUUGCACUUGACCCUUGGUGGGUUUGUUUGGGGUUGCUUUUUGAUUCUUACUGAUUUAUAAUCACUUAGGAGGGGACAGGUGAGAGGAGCAAAUGUAGACUUACGCUUGGGUUUUAAUAACCUUCACAAAAGAGUAGUUCAGCUUCUUAAAAUGAGUUUUAAGUUGCAGAAAUGCUCCUUCACAUUUGUUCAGGCUCAUCCUCUACUCAUCAGGAAGGUUGAGGAGCAGGCUUUUUUUUUUUUUUUUUUUUUUCUGAGGCAGGUGUAUGGUCUAAAUUGGCCAUUCUUGAACCUGGUUGCACAUCAGAAUUAAGGAGGGACAUUUUUAAAAUGUUGAUGCCAAGGACCUGUGCCAAGUGAGUUACCUAGGAAUCUCUUGGGUGGCAGACCCAGGCAUUAGUGUCUUUUGGAAGCUCCACUCUUUCCCACUUUUUUUGGGAGGAUAAAAUUGAAAAAGAAAAGCUUCAUUUUGAGUAGCAAGGGUCCAGGGCUCAGCAGAUACUUCCUGUAAAUAUUUUAGAUUUUGAAGGCCACAUUUAGUCUCUAUUUUAUAUUCCUAUUUUUUAAAAUGUUACAGUCCUUUGAAAAUGUAAAAACCAUUCUUAGCUCAUCAGCAUCAGCAUCACCUGGGAACUUGUUAGACCUGCACAUUCUUGUAAGAAUGUCAGUAAGUAAUUCAUUCUUGUAAGUCAGUCUGCACCCCACUCCGGACUUACUGAAUCAGAAACUCUGGGACAAAACACAGCAGUCUGAUUUUAAGAACUCUCCAGGCAAUGUUUAUUGCCAGAACUGCUUUGAAAGGAUGUUUCUGGAGCUGUAGCCCAUUUGAGAGAGCUGACCAGUUUUAUAGCCGUGGCUUGGUGCUGAUAGACCCCCAGGUCUGCAUAUAAAUGGACUCUGGGUCAUGGAUAGGACUCUACUGCCCGAGUGCUAGACAGGGGCUGUGGAGGUGAGGGUGGGUCACUCUUUCAUCCUCACAGCCCACACAUACAACUGGAGGCAUGAAGGAUGCAUGGGGUGACAGGACAGGGUUAGUGGGUUGUGGAAAAGUGGCCUUUCCUACCAGACUGAGGAGCCUGGACUUUAUUGGGAGGGCGAUGAGGAGCACUGACUGUCACCAGGGGAGUAGUUCCUUACUAUACUACGUCCUUUGUUUGAUCAGCACAUACUUACUGUGUUACACACUGGGCUUGAUUCUGAGAACAAAACCAUUUCAAAAGAGAUGAAAUCUCUGCCCUCGCUGAGUUUUGAGCUGAAUGUAUGGGGUGAUGAGAGAGAGGUUGGUAUUUUACUAGAAUUCCAUUUGAAACACGAGGAAUUACUGGCAAGAAACCAGUUGAAGAAAUAAACAGAAAUAUGGUCUUAGAGAGAGAGUGCUUUGUGAGUCAUCUUAAGGAUGCAGGGCACUGUGGAAGAGCUUUCCAUGAGCAAUGCCGUAAGGACAGGACAUGGUUGGUGAGAAAGAGUGAAGAGUCACAGUGAUGCCUGGGCUCUGGCUUGGAGAGUGCAGUGGACAGUCAUGCUGAUGUGCCUCACUGAGAGGGAACACAGGCAUGCGAGGGGCUCACUUGGAGCAUCAGGGACACGUGCUUGUGGGGUCUCUGCCUUGCAGCAGGGAGCCCCAGAAAGGCCUGAGCUGCAGGUUCAGAUUUUAGAGUUGCCAUCACUUAGGCAGUCCUGGGGGCUGUGGGAGGACAGGAUCACCCUGCAGUAUCCGGAGUCAGAGUGAGGCUGAGGAGGGUCUAGAGCAGAACCGUGAAGAAUAGCUCCACUGAAGGCAGAGGAAGCAGAUCCAACAAGAUGGCAGGAGCAGAGGCUCAGCAGAGCUUCCCAGGCUGCACCCUCCCUGGGCAGCAGCUGUGUUCAUCCUUGGUGCUGUGGCUGAUUGGCCCCCUAGCAUAGACCCUUGCUCCUGCACUGGUAGAGCAUUCAUCUUGCAGGUCUUUUGGAGCUACAAGGCCGUUGAUUCUGUUAGCAGACAUCCCACUGCCCAGGAGACCUGCAUGGGAGCUCAUCUUGGAGUGCACAUAGCUGUAAGUGGAGCCAUCUUUCCCAGAGCCCUGCCAGAUGUUUCUGUUGCUCACUGGCAGAACUUGUCUUGCCUAGCAUCAGAAACAGCUGGAGAGGAGCAGACACUCAGGGGCAUUAGCCAGCUGGGGUUCCUGCCUCAGGCCAUGAGGUGGCACAGCCAGAAAUAGGCCAGAUAUCAGGGGGCAGAAGGAGAACUCUGCCCCCUCUGAUAUGACUUGAAGAACCCUUAGAAAGCCACCAUCAACACCACCCAAACAUAACCCCACUUAGCGAUCACAUCAUUUGAAAUUACACCUGUAGACCUUCAUUUCUUUUGAACAAGAAGUUUUGCUGUUGGGGUUUUUGAUUGCUGAAAAUAUGUUUUUAUUUAUUCUGCAAACACAAACUAAAAACUAUCUAUGUACCUGGCUUCUGUUGGGUAAAUGCUUGGGCCGUGGAGGUAACAACAUCAGUAGCGGUUCUCAAAAACCCAUGGACUGGGCAAGGAAGUGCCUAUGAUGGGAUCAUGCAUAUAAUGGGAACAUGGGCCAAGUGCUGUGACACCCAGAAGAAAGUCGGUCCCUGAAGUUUCAGAGAGAAUAUGAUAUUUGAGCAGGGUCUUAAAGUCUGCAUGUGAGUUUGAGUAGAAGUGAAAUCCAGGCAGAAGGAACAGCAUAAGGCAAAGCAAAGAAGCCUGAAAGAGGCCGGUGUGUGCAGGAUGGCUGAUGCUGCCAUAUACCUUGGUUGUGGGUAUAGGAAAGCAGGAAACAGGUCAGACUGUGAAAGGCCUUGUAGGUUCUGUUGAGGAGUGUGGACAGGUCCUGGAGAGCAAGCCAGAUGAACAGUGUGCUGGGCUUGGGGUGCAGCAAAGUACCACCUGUCCAUGAUACCUCUCUUCCUUGCCAACACCACAGGAGAGUCUGAGAUGCCAUGGAAGGACAGGCAGGAAAGCUGGGUUUCCAAGAAUGCGGCUUCAGUUGGCAAGCCUCGCUUCACCCAGACAGCCUUAGCUCUGAGGGAGGCCAUGACAGAGAACCCACCAUGGAGGAGGGAGGUGGCGGCACUCACCACUGCAGAGGCUGUCUUGCCUGGGGGCCCGGACCACAAUCCUGGACUGUGGGGAGCCACACCGUCUGGGAGUGGAGCAGUCAGGGCCCAGGGCACUAUGAGGCCUCCAGGCUGCUCCAGGGUAGGAAAGAGGCAGAGCGUCUGCUCCUUAGCCAGGAUAGCCAGGAGGCACCAGCCCUCCUCUGGGAGGACAGAGGGGGCAGGCAUGUGAGAGGAAGAGUGCUGGUGCUGGAUUAGCGCCACUGUCUUCACGUGUUUCUGCCUCUAGCAGCCCACUUUGGAACAAGGAUGCCCUUCCUUCCUGUUUCAUUCACAGGCUCCCUGGGAAACAUUUCCUCAGCCAGUCACGGCCCCUGCUCUUCUCCAGCUGAGCCCAGCCGCUCCCAUCAGCACCUCCCCCAAGAACAAGAACCCACAUCUGAGCCCCCGGUGUCUCACUGUGUGCUGCCCGCCUGGCCCAUCCCUGCACCUCGGGGGUGUGUCUGCUCGCAGCAGCACGCCAGCCAGAGAGCAGAACAUGCAAGGUAGGGGCCCCCACGGCCAGUGGGGGCAGUGACCCCCCUCAAGGUCUUGUUUUAUUCAGUCCUUGAUUUUUUUAAAUUUCAAAGAGAAGGACAUAAAAUAUUAUAUCUUUCCAGGUAAGCAAACAUAUAUAACAAAAUUUAAUUUUUUGUUUAUGUAGCCUUCACAUUUUAUUGGUUUUAUUUGUGUUGCUACAAAGUGAUAAUUGGAUUCCUAAGAAACCUACCAUUAUAAAAAAACCAUGCCAUGAAAAUUUUGUUUGCUUGUGGGGAAAAAAGCACUAGAGGCUAGAGUUUCAGAACUGCAAAUAACAAAGUCGGUUUAUGUGUUGGCCUUAAGAGGACAGCUAUGAAACCUUAAGAUUGAUGACAGAUCCAUAGCUCAGUUGAAUUCUAAGCUGUGCUGCUCCACAGUAGCUGCAGUCAUGGCUAUUUAAAUUUAAGCUAAUUAAAAUUAAAUUAAAUUUCCAGUUCAGUUUCUCAGUUAUAGUAGCCACAAGUCAAAUGCUCAGUAGCCACUAAAGUGACUAGCAAAGAUAGGCAGCAUGUCCAUCACCACAGAUGGUUUCACAAGGGACUCCUUGCUCUGGAACCAUGACCUCUGCUUCUCUGACACCACUGGCUGUCUCACAGGGGCAGGGCCUGCACCAGUUUUAUCACCUGUUAUUCCCAGUGUAAGGUCAGGCAAAUGUGCAGAGGGGAUGGGCUUGGCCAGAGCUGGUGCUCAGUUGCUACCGUGGCACACAGAUCACAGUCACAUUCCUUGGUUUGUUAGUUUAGAAAUACCUAAAUCAUGCUGUGAAAAUGAAGGCAGACAGACAAAUGGCUGUGUUAAUAGAGGACUUCAUGACAUCUGUGAGAAUAUUUUCAUACAUAAUCUCACUUGGACCAGUCAAACAUAUGAGAGAUAGCUAGGAAGAUCAUUUAUCUCCAUUUUAUAGGUGAAGCACCUGAGGCUCACAGCUAUCAAAUGGUAGAGGCGGGACUAGAACCCAGGUGUCCUCACAUCUGUCCUGAACUCUUUGCCCCACACUUUGCUGCACCCCUGGUUUUCUACUCCUUUUUCUGUAACACAGCAGGGGCUCCAGCACUCAAUCUGAAGGCUAGUUCCAUCACCCAUUUUCCUGAAGCAAUGCGAUUCCUUUGUUUGUGAACUUUCAGCAGUUCCACCUUCAUCAACUGAUACAUGAAGAUCUGUGUUCUAGAAAGAUAGAACGAAUUAACCAAGAUCACUAAACUAGUUAGUGGCAGAACCACACUGGUACCUGCCUCUACUGAGUCCCAGACCAGAGGGAUAGGCAGUACAGUGCAAUGGAAAGCAUGGCACAGGCUUGGCAUCGGCCAGAUAUGGUUUCAAAUUGAGGUUCUGCCACUUUUCUUGGCAUCUUAGGCCACUUAUUUAACCUCUUUGACCUUCAACUUCCUUAUCUUCAGAAUGGAAACAACUAACUCAAAGGCUGAUGGGUGUAAGGUGACAGAACACACAUGAAGUGCACAGUGGCAGAUGCCCAGUCCAUGUUGCUUGUGGUUCUCCCUGUGCCCCUUUCCGUCUAUUGCAUGUAUGAAUGCCUGGACAGAGAGAACUGAGGUCUUCCAGUCGUCAUUCUUGUAAAAGACACAGUGCUUCGUGUUGGUGCCCUUCAUACUUUCACAUGCACGUGGAACACCUGGGGAGCUUGCUGAGAUGCUUGUUUUCAUCAGCGAACCUGGGGUGGGUCCUACAGUCCUGCCUUGCUGACACAGACUGAGGAUACCAGUGCAGCUCAUCUGCAGGACACACUUUAUGUAGAAGGCUUGGUAUACUAACAGCCACCACCACCUGCACUCCCAUGACACAGCUGAAGCAAAAGGAGACAGACAGGUAAAUGUCUGUCUGCAUGAGCAGUGAGGGUCCACUUUCUACAUUCCUUCCUCCUCUGUGAAAUUCCUGUUAGUCUUACCAGCAAGAGCUGGUUUCUUUGAAUCACCACAGCAGUUUUUUAUGUUCUCUCUCCCAGCAUUUGGGGCUGUCUGCCUCAUGUUAAUGGAUUUCUGUGUUAAGAUGUUCUGGAUGUUAUGGAGGUCGUGUUAUGGAUUUUCUGUGUUAAGAUGCUCUGAGGACACAAGGCAGGGCAUAUAGUAUGUCUAUAUCAGUACAUGAUCAGCGUUUGAUGGUCGUCUGCUGUAGUGAGAUGGCACAUUUGAGGAGAAAGAACUGUCUAAAGCUUGGGAACAGCACUGCCAUGGGCCCUUGGCCAGGCUGUGCUGUCCUCUUUGUUUUCGCUUGUGUGGAUGAGGGAGUGAGAGGACAAUUAGCAAUAUCUCAGGGUAGUUUCUACAGAAAAGUUAGACAUUGUUUGCCAAAUUCCAAGGGGAGAUGGAGAAUAGGAAGGAAGCUUUCUUAAGUCCUGAAAGAUGAUAUUGUUUCUGAUGGUAGUGGCAUAGCUUGCAUCAUACUAAACCUACUGAACAGUUAGAAACUGAGACAUUAGAAAACAACUGUUUGAAGGCACUGAAGAACAAUCAAAACUCUGGAACAGAUUUGACUCUUGAAAGAACUGAGAUUCAAUUUCCAUGGCUUUUCCUAGAACAGAUCCCAGAUAGUCAGUAUCCGAUGAAAAAUUACUAGCCGUAUGAGUAAAUAGUAAAAGUUGACCCACAGUUUAGAGAACUCAGUACAUAGAAACAGACCAGAAUAGACCCAGAUUUUGGAGCUAGCCUACAAAGACUUUAAAAUAAGUAUGUUAACUUUUUAAAUCUGUGAGCAAAAAAUGUAUGUAAUGGGUGAAGAGAUGAUGGAUUUUGGGAGAGAUACAGGGAUCCUGGAAAAGUACUUAGGAGUUCCAGCUCCACUGUGGUGGCAGACCCACUGCAGGAUAUCAUUCCCAGAUCACAGCUUAAAACUCUGGACACAUACAAAGUACAAUUACCCAAAGACCCUGGGAAGUAAAUGAAAGGAGGCAGGGUAUGGACUGGAGAAAAACUUGGAGCAGCAAAUACACAGAGGUCAAUUUUCUGUCUUGCAUGGAUUUGCCUCCAGGGUGUGCUCACACAAAGCAGCACAGUGGGGCCAGUGGUUAAAACUUUCCUGGAAACGCCAUCUUUCUAGGUAGAGGAACCAGGAAAGAGCCCAAUGGAGCUGGAAAGGAUUCUAGAGCAGAGUGAGCUGGAGAAGGGAUCUGCUAAUUCUGAGCACGAAACCACCCAAGUCUUAUGCUCACCUUGAGCUACAUGUGUGUGGAAAGUCCCAAACCAGUGUAACAGAGCUAUAUGAACUGAGCACAGCUUGGCACUACCACACAGAGAAGAGAUGGAACUUGCAGUCUCAACCUAACCAGCUUGAUUUCCUGCAGAAACCAAAACAUCAACAUUCUCCCAAGGAUUAUGGCAACCCACAGUCUACACAAAACACAACAUGCACAACAUUCAGGAUGUAAUUCACAUUUUCUCAGCUUACAGAGAACCAGCAGAAUUUAACCAGUUCUAAUUGGAAGAAACAGAUGUGAACCUCAAGAUAAUACAGAUGUUGGCUAUAUACCCAGCAGUGAGAUUGCUGGAUCAUAUGGUAGUUCUAGUUUUAGUUUUUUGAGGAACCUCCAUAUUGUUUUCCGUAGUGGCCGUGCUAAUUUACAUUCCUACAAAGAGUAUAUAGAGCAUUCCCAUUUCUCCAUGCCCUUAUCAGCAUUUGUUAUUAUCUUUUGAUAAUAGCCAUUUUAACUGGGGGAGAUGAUAUCUCAUUGUGAUUUUGAUUUGCAUUUUCCUAAUGACUGGUGAUGUUGAUAAUUUUUUCAUUUACCUAUUGGCCAUUUGGAUGUCUUCUUUGGAGAAAUGUCUAUCCAGAUCUUUUGUCCAUUUUGUAAUCUGAUUAUUUGAUUUUUUGUCCAUUGAGUUGUUUGAGUUCCUUAUAUAUUCUAUUAAUUUCUUAUUGGAUGAAUAGUUUGAAAAUACUUUCUCCUAUUGCGUAGAUUGUUUCUAUACCUUAUUAAUUUUUUCCUUUGCUGUAUAGAAGCUUUUUAGCUUGAUAUAAUUCCAUUUGUCAGUUUUUGCUUUGAUUACCUGUGCAUUUGAGGUGCUAUUCAAGAACGUUUUGGCUAGACCAAUGUUUUGAAUUGUUUUCUCAAUGUUUUCUUCUACAUGUUUCAUGGUUUCAGGUCUUACAUUUACAUGUUUAAUCAAUUUUGAGUUGAUUUUUGUAUAGGGUGAGAGAUAGGGCUCUAGUUUCAUUCAUACAUUCAUAUGGAUAUUUAUUUUUCCCAGCACCAUUUAUUGAAGAGACUGUUCUUUCCCCAAUGUAUACUCUUGGCAUCUUUGUUGAAAAUGAGUUGACUGUAAAUGCAUGAAUUUAUUUCUGAGAUCUGUAUUCUGUUCCAUUGGACUGUGUGUCCAUUUUUAAGUCAGUGCCAUGCUGUUUUGGUUAUAGCUUUGUAGUAUAUUUUGAAGUCAGGUAAUAUGAGUCCUCCAGUUUUGUUCUUUUUUGCUCAGGGUUGCUUUGGCUGUUCUGAUUCUAGUGUGGUUUCAUAUAAAUUUUAGAGUUUUUGUUUCUAUUUCUGUAGAAAAUACAGAAUGGUAUUUUGAUAGGCAUUGACUCUGCAGAUUUCUUUAGGUAGUGUUGGAGUGAUCAGAUGCAACACCAGGCCAUGAGGGCUAUGAAGUCUGGUGGAGUGAAAGGAAUGAGAAAAGACAAGUUAAGAGUAAAAGUGGGACCAGGGGGCCAAUGCUAGUAUGGAGGCUGUGAAGGCUUCGAGCUCUGGGAGCCCAUGCUAUUUAUUGGUGAUCAAACAAAGAAACAGGUGAUGAGGAUGUGGGGUUGAAAGGUAGUGAUGCAUCAAGCCCAUGAUCUACACCUGUGACGGUUUAGCAUUUUCUUUGAAGCAUAUGGAACAUGUUCUGCUACUUGAGAUAAUGGAAACAUGUUCUUCUAGUUUAAGAUACAAUCAACCUAUGAGCCUGGGAAUGCUAGAAGCAAGGAGCCAGCAAGUCUAGACACAUUCCAGAGGCCACUAGGGGUUUUAUGCCCUGAGCCCUGGAUUCCAUCCAAGCCACGAGGGGUUUUAUGCCCUGGGCUUAGAUUAUGGUGCGGCAGGGCAGCCUUCCACCCUUUGGCACAGAACUUGGUGUUCCAAAGGCCAAAAGGGGUUUUAGACCCUGGACCCUGGACAUGUUCCGAGACUCUUUUACAUUAUGUCAGACAUGCAAGCCCUGCCUCAGCUUUUUUCCCAACACUCAGCUUUUCUCCAAUGGAAGUCAGGUAGUAUGAUUCUUCCAGUUUUGUUCUUUUUGCUCAGGGUUGCUUUGGCUGUUCUGAUUCUUGUGUGGUUUCAUAUAAAUUUUAGAAUCUUUGUUUCUAUUUCUGUAGAGAAUACUGAAUGUAUUUUGAUAGGCAUUGAUUCUGCAGAUUUUUUUAGGUAGUGUGGACAUUUUAACAAUAUUAAUUUUUGCAAUCAUGAUCAUGGGGUAUUGUUCCAUUUUCAUAUCCUUUUUAAUUUCUUUAAUAAAUAUUUUAUACUUUCAUUGUUGAGAUCUUUUACUUCUUUAAGAUUAUUUCUAAGUAUUUUUUGUAGCUACUGUAAAUGGGAUUGCUUUCUUAAUUUCUUUUUUAGACUGUUUGCUGUUGACAUAUAGAAAUACUACUGAUUUUUACACAUUGAUUUUGUAUCCUGCAUCUUUUCUGAAUUUAUUUAUCUGUUCCAACAGCCUUUUGGCAUUUUUAAGUUUUCCUAAAUAUAAGAUUAUAUUGUCUGCAAACAAGGACAAUUUUACUUCUUCCUUUUCAAUUUGGAUGCCCUUUCUUUCUCCCUUCUCAUUGCUCUGGCUAGGACUUCUAGUACCAUGUUGAAUAACCGUGUGAAAGUGGGCAUUCUUGUCUUGUUCCAGAUUUUAGAGGAAAGGCUUUUCAUUUUUCCCUGUUCAGUAUGAUGCUAGCUGUGGGUUUUGCAUGUAAAGCCUUUAUUGUUUUGAGGUAAGUUCCUUCUAUAUCUGGUUUGUUGAGAGUUUUUAUUGUCAAGGGAUGUAGCAUUUUAUCAAAUAACUUUUUGUCAUGUUUUGAAAUGAUCAUAUGGUUUUUGUUUUUGAAUCUAUUAAUGUGGUGUAUCAUGUUCAUUUCUUUGCAUAUGUUGAACCCUCCUUGCAUCCCUGAGAUGAAUCUCACUUGAUAAUUAUCUUUAUAAUAUAUUGUUAUAAACAUCAGGGAUGUUUCCUUUUUUUGUUGUAUCUUUGUCUGUUUUUGGUAUCAGGAUAGUGCUUCAUAGGAUGAGUUUAGAAGUAUUCCAUCCUCCUCAACAUUUUGGAAUAGUUUGAGAAGAAUUGAUGUUAGUUCUUCAUAUGUUUGGUAGAAAAUCAGCAGGGAAGCCAUCAGGUCUUGGGUUUUUCUUUGAUGGGAGUUUAUUACUGCGUCUAUCUUGUGACUUCUUGGUCUGUUCAGGUUUUCUAUUUCUUCAUGAUUCAACCUUGCUAGGUUGUAUUUGUGUAGGAAUUAAUCCAUAUCUUCCAGGUUUUCCCAUUUUUGGCAUAUUGUUGCUCAUAAUAGUCUCUGAUGGUCCUUUGAAUUUUUGUCUUAUCAGAUGUAAUGUCUCCUUUUUUGUCUCUGAUUUUAUUUAAGGCUUGACUCAUUUUUUGUUAAUCUAGCUAAAGGAUUAUCAAUUUUGUUUACCUUUUCAAAAAAGCAAAAUUUUUGUUUCAUUGAUAUUUUAUUUUUUUCACUCUAAAUUUUAUUUAUUUCUGCUCUGAACUGUAAUAUUUAUUUCCUUCUAAUUUGGGGUUUGGUUUUUUCUUACUUUUCAACUUUUUUAAGGGGCAUCAUUUAGAUUUUUUUCUAUUCCAUACUAUAUUUUAUAUUUAUAUUUAUUUAUUUAUUUUUAUUAUACUUUAAAUUCUGGGAUACGUGUGCAGAACGUGCAGGUUUGUUACAUAGGUAUACAUGCGCCAUAGUGGUUUGCUGCACCCAUCAACCUGUCAUCUACAUUAAGUAUUUCUCCUAAUGCUAUCCCCUCCCUUAUCUCCCCACCCCUUGACAGGCCCCGAUGUGUGAUGUUUCCCUCCCUCUGUCCAUGUGGUCUCAUUGUUCACCUCCUACUUAUGAGUGAGAACAUGUGGUGUUUGGUUUUCUGUUCUAGGGUAAGUUUGCUGACAAUGAUGGUUUCCAGCUUCAUUCAUGUCCCUGCAAAGGACGUGAACUCAUUCUUUUUUAUGGCUGCAUAGUAUUCUAUGGUGCAUAUGUGCCACAUUUUCUUUAUCCAGUCUAUCAUUGAGGGGCAUCCGGGUUGGUUCCAAGUCUUUGCUAUUGUGAGUAGUGCUGCAAUAAACAUACGGGUGUACUUGUCUUUAUAGUAGAAUGAUUUAUAAUCCUUUGGGUAUAUACCCAGUAAUGGGAUUGCUGGGUCAAAUGGUAUUUCUAGUUCUAGAUCCUCGAGGAAUCGCCACACUGUCUUUCACAGUGAUUGAACUAAUUUACAGUCCCACCAACAGUGUAAAAGUGUUCCUAUUUCUCCACAUCCUCUCCAGCAUCUGUUGUUUCCUGACUUUUUAAUGAUCACCAUUCUAACUGGCAUGAGAUGGUAUCUCAUUGUGGUUUUGAUUUGCAUUUCUGUAAUGACCAGUGAUGAUGAGCUUUUUUUCAUGUUUGUUGGCUGCAUAAAUGUCUUCUUUUGAGAAGCGUCUAUUAUCCUUUGGCCCCUUUUUGAUGGGAUUGUUUGAAUUUUUCUUGUAAAUUUGUUUAAGUUCCUCGUAGAUUCUGGAUAUUAGCCCUUUGUCAGAUGGAUAGAUUGCAGAAAUAUUCUCCCAUUCUGUUGUUUGCCUGUUCACUCUGAUGAUAGUUUCUUUUGCUGUGUAGAAGCUGUUUAGCUUAAUUAGAUCCUAUUUGUCUGUUUUGGCUUUUGUUGCCAUUGCUUUUGGUGUUCUAUUCAUGAAGUCUUUGCCCAUGCCUGUGUGCUUAAUGGUAUUGCCUAGGUUUUUUUCCACGGUUUUUGUGGUUUUAGGUCUUACGUUUAAGUCUUUAAUCCAUCUUGAGUUAAUUUUUGUAUAAGGUGUAAGGAAGGGGUCCAAUUUCAGUUCCCUGCAUAUGGCUACCCAGUUUUCCCAACACCAUUUAUUAAACAGGGAAUCCUUUCCCCAUUGCUUGUUUUUGUCAGCCUUGUCAAAAGUCGGAUGGUUGUAGAUGUGUGGUGAUUUCUGAGGCCUCUGUUCUGUUCCAUUGGUCAAUAUAUCUGUUUUGGUACCAGUCCCAUGUUUUGGUGCCUGUAGCCUCAUAGUAUAGUUUUAAGUCAGGUAGCAUGAUGCCUCCAUGUUUGUUCUUUUUGCUUAGGACAGUCUUGGCGAUAUGGGCUCUUCUUUGGUUCCUUAUGAAAUUUAAAGUAGAUUUUUCUAAUUCUGUGAAGUCAAUGGUAGCUUGAUGGGAAUAGCAUUGAAUUCGUAAAUUUCUUUGGGCAGUAUGGCCAUUUUCAUGAUAUUGAUUCUUCCUAUCCAUGAGCAUGGAAUGUUUUUCCAUUUGUUUCUGUCCUCUCUUAUUUCCUUGAGCAGUGGUGUGUAGUUCUCCUUGAAGAGGUCCUUCCCAUCCCUUGUAAGUUCUAUUCCUAGGCAUUUUAUUCUCUUUGAAGCAAUUGUGAUUGGGAGUUCACUCAGGAUUUGGCUAUUAUUGGUUUAUAAGAAUACUUGUGAUUUUUGCACGUGGAUUUUGUAUUCUGAGACUUCACUGAAGUUGCUUAUCAGCUUAAGGAGAUUUUGGGCUGAGACGAUGGGGUUUUCUAAGUAUACAAUCGUGUCAUCUGCAAACAGAGACAACUUGACUUCCUCUUUUCCUAAUUGAAUACCCUUUAUUUCUUUCUCUGAUUGUGCUGGCCAGAACUUCCAAUACUAUGUUGAAUAGGAGUGGUGAGAGAGGGCAUCCUUGUCUUGUGCCAGUUUUCAAAGGGAAUGCUUCCAGUUUUUGCCCAUUCAGUAUGAUAUUGGCUGUGGGUUUGUCAUAAAUAGCUCUUAUUAUUUUGAGAUACAUCCCAUCAAUACCUAGUUUAUUGAGAUUUUUUAGCACGAAGGGGUGUUGAAUUUUAUUGAAGGCCUUUUCUGCAUCUAUUGAGAUAAUCAUGUGGUUUUUGUCAUUGGUUCUGUUUAUAUGAUGGAUUAUGUGUAUUGAUUUUCGUAUGUUGAACCAGCCUUGCAUCCCAGAAAUGAAGCCAGUUUGAUCGUGGUGGAUAAGCUUUUUAAUGUGCUGCUAGAUUCAAUUUGCCAGUAUUUUAUUGAGGAUUUUCUCAUCGAUGUUCAUCAGGGAUAUUGGCCUGAAAUUUUCUUUCUUUUUGUGUCUUUGCCAGGUUUUGGUGUCAGGAUGAUGCUGGCCUCACAAAAUGAGUUAGGGAGGAGUCCAUCUUUUUCUAUUUUUUGGAAUAGUUUCAGAAGGAAUGAUAUCAGCUCCUCUUUGUGCCUCUGGUAGAAUUCGGCUGUGAAUCCGUCUGGUCCUGGGCUCUUUUUGGUUGGUAGGCAAUUAAUUACUGCCUCAAUUUCAGAACUUGUUAUUGGCCUAUUCAGGGAUUCGACUUCCUUCUGGUUUAGUCUUGGGAGGGUGUAUGUGUCCAGGUAUUUGCCCAUUUCUUCUAGAUUUUCUAGUUUAUUUGCAUAGAGGUGUUUAUAGUAUCCUCUGAUGCUAGUUUGUAUUUCUGUGGGGUCAGUGGUGAUAUCCACUUUAUCAUUUUUUAUUGUGUCUAUUUGAUUCUUUUCUCUUUUCUUCUUUAUUAGUCUGGCUAGUGGUCUAUCUAAUUUGUUAAUCUUUUCCAAAAGACAGCUCGUGGAUUCAUCGAUUUUUUGAAAGUUUUUUUGUGUCUCUGUAUCCUUCAGCUCUGCUCUGAUCUUAGUUAUUUUUUGUCUUCUGCUAGCUUUUGAAUUUGUUUGCUCUUGCUUCUCUAGUUCUUUUAAUUGUGAUGUUUGGGUGUUGAUUUUAGAUCUUUCCUGCUUUCUCUUAUGGGCAUUUAGUGCUGUAAAUUUCCCUCUGAACAUUGCUUUAGCUGUGUCCCAGAGAUUGUGGUACGUUGUGUCUUUGUUCUCAUUGGUUUCAAAUAACUUAUUUAUUUCUGCCUUAUUUUCGUUAUUUACCCAGUAAAUAAAUUCAGGAACAGGUUGUUCAGUUUCCAUGUAGUUGUGCAUUUUUGAGGGAGUUUCUUAAUCCUGAGUUCGAAUUUGAUUGCACUGUGGUCUGAGAGACUGUUUAUGAUUUCCCUUCAUUUGCAUUUGCUGAGGAGUGUUUUACUUCCAAUUAUGUGGUCAAUUUUAGAAUAAGUGAGUGCUAUGUGGUACUCAGAAGAAUGUAUAUUCUGUUGAUUUGGGAUGGAGAGUUCUGUAGAUGUCUAUUAGGUCUGCUUGUUCCAGAACUGAGUUCCAGUCCUGAAUAUCCUUGUUAAUUUUCUGUCUCAUUGAUCUGUCUAAUAUUGACAGUGGGGUGUUAAAGUCUCCCAUUAUUAUUGUGUGGGAGUCUAAGUCUCUUUGUAGUCUAGAAGAACUUGCUUUAUGAAUCUGGGUGUGCCUGUAUUGGGCACAUAUAUAUUUAGGAUAGUUAACUCUUCUUGUUGAAUUGAUCCCUUUACCAUUAUGUAAUGCCCUCUUUGUCUCUUUUGAUCUUUCUUGGUUUAAAGUGUGUUUUAUCAGAGACUAGGAUUGCAACCCCUGCUUUUUUUUUUUUUGCUUUCCAUUUGCUUGGUAAAUCUUCCUUCAUCCUAUUAUUUUGAGCCUAUCUGUGUCUUUGCACGUGAGAUGGGUCUCCUGAAUACAGCACACCAAUGGGUCUCAACUCUUUAUCCAAUUUGCCAGUAUGUAUCUUUUAAUUGUGGCAUUUAGCCCAUUUACAUUUAAGGUUAAUAUUGUUAUGUGUGAAUUUGAUCCUGUCGUUAUGAUGCUAGCUGGUUAUUUUGACUGCUGGUUGAUGCAGUUUCUUCCUAGCAUCGAUGGUCUCUACAUUUUGGUAUGGUUUUGCAGUGGCUGGUACUGGUUUUUCCUUCCCAUGUUUAGUGCGUCCUUCAGGAGAUCUUGUAAGGCAGGCAUGGUGGUGACAAAAAUCUCUCAGCAUUUGCUUGUCUGUAAAGAAAUUUAUUUCUCCUUCACUUAUGAAGCUUUGUUUGGCUGGAUAUGAAAUUCUGGGUUGAAAAUUCUUUUCUUUAAGAAUGUUGAAUAUUGGCCCCUUCUCUCUUCUGAGUUGUAGGGUUUCUGCAGAAAGAUCUGCUCUUAGUCUGUUGGGCUUCCACCUUUCUCUCUGGCUGCUCUUAGCAUUUUUUCCUUCAUUUCAACCUUGCUGAAUCUGAUGAUUAUGUGUCUUGGGGUUGCUGUUCUCGAGGAGUAUCUUGGUGGUGUUCUCUGUAUUUCCUGAAUUUGAAUGUUGGCUUCUCUUGCUAGGUUGGGGAGGUUCUCCUGGAUGAUAUCCUGAAGAGUGUUUUCCAACUUGGUUCCAUUUUCCCUGUCAUUUUCACAUACACCAAUCAAACGUAGCUUGGUCUUUUCACAUAGUCCCACAUUUCUUUGAGGCUUUGCUCAUUUCUUUUAAUUCUUUUUUCUCUAAUCUCGUCUUCAUGCUUUAUUUCAUUAAGUUGAUCUUCAAUCUCUGAUAUCCUUUCUUCUGCCUGAUGGACUUGUCUAUUGAUACUUGUGUAUUCUUCAUGAAGUUCUCAUGCUGUGUUUUUCAGCUCCAUUAGGUCAUUUAUGUUCUUCUCUGAAUUAGUUAUUCUAGUUAGCAAUUCCUGUAACCUUUUAUCAAGGUCUUUAGUUUCCUUGCAUUGGGUUAGAACAUGCUCCUUUAGCUCAGAGGAGUUAUUACCCACCUUCUGAAGCCUAAUUCUGUCAGUUCGUCAAACUCAUUCUCUGUGCAGUUUCGUUCCCUUUCUGGUGAGGAGUUGUGAUCCUCUGGAGGAGAAGAGGUGUUCUGGCUUUUCAGCCUUUUUGCACUGUUUUUUCCUCAUCUUCUUCAAUUUGUCUACCUUUGAUCUUUGAUGUUGGUGAUCUUCGGAUAGGGUUUUUGUGUGGAUUUUUUUGUUGUUGUUGUUGAUGCUAUUCCUUUCCGUUUGUUAGUUUUCUUUCUAACAGUCAGGCCCGUCUGCUGCAGCUCUACUGGAGUUUGCUGGAGGUCCACUCCAGACCCUGUAUCACCAGCGGAGUAUCACCAGUGGAGACUACAGAACAGCAAAGAUAGAUGUCUGUUCCUUGCUCUGGAAGCUUCGUCCCAGAGGGGCACCUGCCAGAUGCCAGCUGGAGCUCUCCUGUAUGAGGUGUCUGUCGAUCCCUGCUGGGAGGUGUCUCCAGUCAGGAGGGACAGGGGUCAGGGACCUGCUUGAGGAGGCAGUCUGUCCCUUAGCAGGGCUCGGGCGUUGUGCUGGGAGAUAUGCUGCUUUCUUCAGAGCCACAGGCAAAACAUUUAAGUCUGCCAAAACUGCGCCCACAGUUGCUCCUUCCCCCAGGUGCUCUGUCCCAGGCAGAUGGGGUUUUGUCUAUAAGCCCCUGACUCGGACUGCGGCCUUUUUUUCAGAGAUGCCCUGCCCAGAGAGGAAGAAUCUAGAGAGGCAGUCUGGCCACAGUGGCUUUGCCGAGCUAUGGUGGGCUUUGCCCAGUUAGAACUUUCUGGAGGGUUUGUUUACACUGUGAGGGGAAAACCGCCUAUUCAUGCCUCAGUAAUGGCGAAUGCCUCACCCCCACCAAGCUUCAGUGUCCCCGGUUGACUUCAGACUGUUGUGCUGGCAGCGAGAAUUUCAAGCCAGUGGAUCUUAGCUUGCUGGUCUCCAUGGGGGUGGGAUCCCCUGAGCUAAACCACUUGGCUCCCUAGCUUCAGCCCCAUUUUCAGGGGAGUGAACAGUUCUGUCUCUCUGGCAUUCCAGGUGCCACUAGGGUAUGGAAAAAAACUCCUACAGCUAGCUCGGAGUCUGCCCAAAAAGCUGCCCAGUUUUGUGCUUGAAACCCAGGGCCCUGGUGGUGUAGGCACCCGAGGGAAUCUCCUGGUCGUGGGUUGUGAAGACCAUGGGAAAAGUGUAUCUGGGCCAGGAUGCACCAUUCCUCACAGCACAGUCCCUCUUGGCUUCCCUUGGCUAAGAGAGGGAGUUCCCCAACACUUUGUGCUUCCCUGGUGAGGUGACACCCCACCCUGCUUCAGCUCACCCUCUGUGGGCUGCACCCACUGUCUAACCAGUCCCAGUGAGAUGAGCCAGGUAUCUCAGUUGGAAAUGCGGAAAUCACCCACCUUCUGCGUUGAUCUUGCUGGGAGCUGCAGACCAGAGCUGUUCCUAUUUGGCCAUCUUGCCAGCCACCCAUCAUUUAGAUUUUUAAAGUGUUUAUUUAUUUAUUUAAAUGCAGUGACCAAGUGCAAAAGGAAGUGGCUACAAAACCUAGGAAACCAUUUUUAAAAGUCAGGGGAGAGCUCUGGGUUGAUAUUGACACCAAAGAAUAUUCAGGAGGUGGUGUGACAGCCCCACAUGCCACCAGCCUCUGUGCAGCCAGAAGCCUAGGACAGGAGGAAAGGUGCACUGCGCUGCUGGCUGGAGUGAGUGUUUACUCCCAAACUGCUUGCUGACUCCAGGAAGCACCCUGCACACUUGUGCUUUAGUGUCUCCCUGUACCAACUUGGCCAUUUCUGCCUUCCUCAUCUGCUAUGCAGGGGUAACGUGUUUCUCAGACCUAUUAGGAAGAUUUAAAGUGGCAUCACAUGCCAUGUGCCUGACACAGGGUCUUACCUGUUUUAUGCGGCUUCUGUCAGCCUGCAGUCCUGGAAGAGAAGCAUCUCUCCAAAUCCACUGCUCCCAGGUAUCCAUCCAACAAAACCAAUGCAGGACAUCAUAGUAACAUUGGCCUCACAUGGGUGUGCAUGGCAGUAAUGGAGUCCCCAGGACCUCUGAGUCCUCAGAGUUCUCCUCCUGAUUCUUGCCCAAGGGGAGCACACUGCAGCAGGGAUUGAGCAGCAUGUCCAGAGCCCUGGGUGUUGGCACAGUGCUCCUGUUCUUUGAGUAGGUAAUUUCGGGCAUGUUGGCUUCCUUUGAUUACCUUUUACCUGAUGUAGUCCUACUCAAAAUGCAUUAGUGUCAUCUACCAUAAGCCAGGCAUAAUUCCAUGGGACAGGAUCUGGCCCUCUGCUGUCUUGGAGGACAUGGUUGGCUAGGAGUAGAGAGACACAGACCCAGAAACCAACACAAGACAGAGCAAGGUCCGUGUUCUGAUGGGAGCCCAGGUGCUGCGGGAACAGGGAGGAAGAGCACAGGGUCUUCUGGGAGUCGGGAGACUCACACACUGAUAACACACACCAGACAGAGUGAGUGCAUGUCCUGAUGGGAGCCCAGGUGCUAUGGGGGCACAGAAGAGGGUGUGCUUAAGAUGAGAGAAUUAGGGACCAGUAAUUCUUUUGUAGAUGGAAAGUCUUUUGGACUUGGUGUAAUAUUUUGAUGCAUCAGAGAGAAGCAUUCCAGGGCGAGGUGAGGCAUGCAAACCUAGGGAUGGGGUUUAGACCAUGUGGGACGUACUCAGGGGUGAGUAGUAUCUGAGCUGGAGUAAACGACAUGGGCAGGUGGAUAUUUGGACAUAAGAAAGUGGGGUUUAAGGAGGAAGAGUUUGGAUCUACUGCUUCAAAGUGUUUGGUCCAAGCUCAGGAAAAAGGAUGGCAGCACCCCACUUUUCUUUAUUUACUUUUGCAUUCAUUUGCUUGUUCCUUCAGCAAACAUUUAUUCGUUAUUUACUAUGUGACAAGCACUAACCUGGGUGCUGAGGAAAGAAAGAUGAGUAAGACAGGGUUUCCUUCCUCAGGGAAAUCAUAGUCUGGUGGAAGAGAUAAGUAACAAUGGAGUGUGAUGCAGAUAGUAAUUUGAUGCUGCUCCAAGAACAGUUAUGCAGGUGAUUAGUUACACUUGGAGGCAGAGGAUGUAAGAGAGGCUUUUACAAAUGUGCCUUUUGAGCUGAGUUUGAAGGAUAAAUGGAGUAGGAGCUUGCCAGAGGGACCUCAGAAGCCAUCCAGGGACAGCUGACAACAGGACAAAGCCCAGAAGUGUCACUGAGAGGAGCAUGCUGGGGACACAGUGACGUCUGGUUUGAGUGGAUCCUAGGUGGGAAGGGUAACUAGGAAGAAAAGACUGGAAAGAUGGGAUGGAAUAAAGCUGGGAGUUUGGGCUUCAUCCUAAAGGCACUGUGACAGUGGUGAAGAUGUUUAAGCUGGGAGGUCAGGAAGGUAAAUAGCAGGAUGGAGAGGGCUGGAGAGGCCCUGGGAAGAUGUGAGGAAGACUUGUUAUGAGACCUUUUGUGGUCCAGAAGAAGGAUCAGGAGGAAAUGAGUAGGGUGGGCUCACUAAGGCUGACUGGUGAGUGAGUGAGAGUGUGGGUAACUCUAAUGUUUGGCUUUGCAGAAGACUUUUCUGGCACUCUCGCCACCACCAGGGAGGGCUCAUCCAGAUCUGUCUGCAGCCGUGUGCUCAUCCCACCUGAUUGUGGUGGUGUGCAUUCAUGACACCUCCUCCACUGCUGUGACACCUGUCCUGCAGGGCAGGUGGCAUCUGUGUCCACUGUGCCUGGCUCAGAUGGAAAAUGGGGCAUGAGCAAAUAUCACAGGAGCAAAUCCAGGUGACAUAUCCACCAGAGAGCUGGAAACUCCAAAAGACCAAGUGAAAGGCACCAAAGACAAAUAUGAACACGAGGAUCCUGCAUCUUCCCUUGCUCUCCUGUCUGUUGGUGAAGCACAGCAUGCUCUAGAGACACAUGUUUAGUUAUGGAGGCCCAUACUGUUGGCUUGGUCUUGUGUGUGGAGAGGAAUAGAAAGGGAGAAGGAAUGCAGAGGUCCAGGGAGGAAGGCUGUGAAGCUCGGUGGCCCAUGUUGGCAGAGGAGGUAGCCUGGCCUGCAUACCUGCUUCCCUUCAUUUUUCUAAGCUUGUGGGCCAGCUGUGGCCAUGUCCCCAAGGAACAGCUCCCCACAGGCUGAGAGCACACCAGUGAGGCAGUUCCAUGGAUUGGUCUCAGAGGGCUGUGACCCCUAGAAACCGCAUGCAAAUGUGCAUGUGUGUGAGACAUGCCACAUUCUGGGGAGACACCCCAAGAGCUUUUGCUCAGCUUUUCAAAGAUGCCUGUGGCCAUCUAGAGCCUGAGAACCGCUGCUAUAAGGAUCCAGUCUUACUUUUCUCCCCACAUUAAAUCCUAGGAAGAACAAUAAUAUAAAAGAUAGGGAAGAAGACCUAGAUCCAUACUUGCUCAGAACUACAUCCUGCAAUUUCCCAGAGCACCCACACAGAACGUAGAACCCAGUUCCAAAACCACUCUCAUAAAGCCAAAGGCUGUAGAGUUGCAGAGCCAGAUGGACCCUUGGAAAUCACUGUGACGCCAGGUCGUGUCUGGGGCAAUCAGGAAGGCACACAGAGCUUAUCAGUGGCAGCGCUGGAACCUGACACAGCUCCCUCCUCAUUCAUUGAUUCUCUUUUUACUACUUGCCUUAUCUCCCAAAACUUACAUUUUAAUAAUUCAAAACUUUUUCUUUUUCUGAGGCAGGGUCUGGCUCUGUUGCCCAAGUUGGAGUACAAUAGCAUGAUCUCAGCUCACUGCAGCCUCGGCCUCCUGGGCUCAAGCCAUCCUCCCACCUCAGCCUCCCAACCAAGUAACUGGGACUACAUCACCAUGCCCGGCUAAUUUUUUUUUUUGGAAGAGACAGGUUUUUACCAUGUUGUCCAGGCUGGUCUCGAACUCUUGAGCUCAAGCCAUCUGCCUGUCUGGGCUUCCUAAAGUGCUGAGAAUACAGGUGUGAGCCACCAUGCCUGGCUUCAAACCUUUUUCUAUCCAGAUAGAGUUGCCAAACAGGAAACCAUUUUUUCUGUAGAUGUUUAGGUUUCUGGGGAGAGAAACUUUUCCUUCGAAUUGCCUCUCUAACCACCAUAAAACCUGGUAGAAGAUGGAUCUGUUGCUUAUGUCUGAAGUUCUUUAUAACUUACCACAUUGACACCCACGAGCUGAUUUACUUUACAGGGGAACACUGAGACUCAGAGAUGAGAUGACUUGCUUGCUGCUUCCUGCCACCCACUUCAAAGCUCUCCCCACCAUCUCUCAGCCUGGGCAUUCAGAUAUGCACAUUCUGGGAUGCUCACAGCAGGGAACCAGUAGCCAGUGUAUCUGGCUUGCUGCUCUGUUUUGUGGGGGUGAAACUGACCACCCUGCUAAUCACAGCCACUGGGGGAGAGGAAUAAGGUCUUGCCUUGAUUGAAUUAGACUCUAGAUAUACUAGAGUCUGAUUUCUAAGCAACCUGCAAAGUGAGUUUUUAAUCACCAUUUUACAGAUGGAGAAACUAAUUCAGAAAGGGAAAAUGCUCAAGGCCACAAGGUAGUAAACUCCCAACUAGACAAACCUCAGGUCUGCCCAAUUCCUCUUCCUGUGUUUUCUCCAUAUCAUCUCGCUACAUGGGGCUGUGAACUUCCCCGCCUGCCUCCCUGGGGCAGUCCUAGCCUCCUCUCACCCCUGCCCCUUCCCUUCUUUCUCUCUCUUAGGAGUGCCAGCUUCUCCCAGGGUUCUGGGGCCGCAUUCCUCAUGAGGAGAAGCACAGCCGUGCAAAAUCUUGCCCAGCACAGUGGAUACGGUGUUGAUGGGGUCAGCGGUCACAUCCAUGGCUUCCAUAGCCUUUCCAAGCCGAGCCAGCGCAAUACAGAAUUCAGAGGCAGCACCCACAGAAUCCCCUGGAGCCUGGCCUCCCAUGGCCCCACCAGAGGCAGCCUCACAGGCUCUGAGGCGGAUAAAGAGGGUGUGUACCCCUUCAAGGCACCCAGAAGCACCCUGUGCCAGGAGUUUGGGGGCCACCUGGUGAACAAUAGUGGUGUUCCGGCCACCCUACUCUCAGUGCACCAGAUUCCUAGGACAGUCACGUUAGACAAGAACCUCUAUGCCAUGGCAGUGGCCACUCCUGGGCCCAUAGCCUCCCUUCCCCUGCCCAAGGCAAGGCAGGCAGAAGCAUGUCAGUGGGGCAGCCCUCAGCAGAGACCUUCAGUCAGUGAAAGUAGCAGGUGGUCCAUUGCUGCUGCCAUCCCCAAGCGGAAUACCCUUCCUGCAAUAGACAACAGCCGAUGUCGCCAAGGUCAGUAUGAGCCCUUACUGAGACCCAGAGGGAGAGGGGAGGUGGCACCGGGUUCUCAGUGGUUAGCUAGUCCUUGGUCUCCCAUGGCCAAGGGAGACUUGGGAGCCACUCAGGUCACUGAUAGUCAAGUUCAUCUCCUGCCUGGACCUUGACUGCUGGGUCCCCCAGCACUGGAGGCUGUUAAUAGACACCCAAUGGCAAGACUGUGGCAGACUCGGCCUCCACUAAGGGAGACAGAACAUUCUUAGUUACAGUACAGCACAUAUGGGUUUGGAAUUCUAAAUCAUCAUAGUGUAUAUAUGUUUAAAUCCAAGUAAAGACUUAAAACAGAAAUUUAGGAGAUCAGUCCAAAACUAGAGCCAAACCAGUGUGGACUAACAGACUGUUGAAACAAAAUGAGAUCUUCAAAAUAUUUUCCAGCCUAUACUUGGAUAUCUUUGUUUGAAGUCUAAACUUGUGUAUUUGAAAUACCUAGAUUCUUUUGUCAUUUGUUUUCCACUGAGAGUAUUUUAUAUCUGCAUAUAACCUCCUCUCCUCAAUAAAAAAAAAAUAGAUCAAUAGUAACUCCUUUCCUGUUGCAUCCGUUCUUACACCUUGCAAAGCCUUUGUUUAUUCUUCCUGUUAUGAGAGAGUCUGGUGGGGCAAAGCCUUGUUUUCUCCAUUUUAUAUGAGGCCCAUGGUACUUAGGCUUAUUCAGGGUUAAAAGUCAUAAGUGGCAAAGAUGAGCCUCACCCUGAGGUCCUGGAUCCUGGGUUAGAGUUCUUUGCAGUCUUCUCAGUGUUUCAGCAAUUUGAACAAGGUCCUUGUGUUGUGAAAUUGAAAUGAUAGAGGUAUAUAUAAAACAUGUUUGCUGUUCAGAGCUCACAUUUAUGUAUAAAAUAAAAUGCAACCGACAUGCAGAAGUCAGUACAAGCACUCUUUACUAUUCCUGGAGGUGGCAGGUGGGUGAAAGGGAUGGGUGGUGGGUGCUGUAGGAGUUGAAGGAGAGGUGUGUCCUGAGGGCAGGCGUCCAGGAGGGACACUCUGUGGGUAACACUGGAGCUGGACCUGGAAGCCCAGGAGGAGUUGUGGUAGGGAGCAGGGAUGUGUUAGAGAUAACGCCUUGUCAUUUGGGGUUGAGAGUCAUGUCCUCUGGAGCAUCAGGGAGACCCUGAGCAGCACUGGAGCAUCAGGGAGACCCUGAGCAGCACUGGGGAGGCAUCAACACAUGGAUCAGCUGUGAUACAUGUGGAUCUCCUUCCUCUGUCAUAGCUUCCUCUGGCAAGUACCCCCAGCAUGGUGGAGGGAAUGCCAGCCGGCCAGCUAAGUCCAUGCAUGAGGGAGUCAGUUCUUUCCUGGUGAGUAUGGCUUAACCAGGGGUCCCCAGACUGGCUUAGGGAGGUAAAGGUCACACUCCAUGGAACUAAAAGCACAUCCCCCAAAGGGUGACAGCAUCUCCCUCCUAGGAGCCUGCCUAGGUUCUUGCCUCAGUUCAGAACCAUAGGUUCAGUUUUUGGAUAAGUGAGGCAGGUAUCCAGGUCUGGAAGAAAGUGAGUACCGAAGUAGACGGGAUCACAAGGCUUAUCAGCGCUGUGGGUAGCAGAGGGUGCAGAAUGCUGGGGUUCUGGAUGCUCUAAGCAGGCGCUCUAACUCAUGAGGUCCCCUGGAGCAGGAGUGCUUCCCUGUGAGCCUUUGGUAUGGGUAGGCAGAGGGGACAGGCUGCUGGGGCGGUGGGUGAUCUGAUUCAGCAACCUUAUCCAGGAGAUCCUCUGGAGCAGGGGUGCUUCUGUGUGAGCCUCAAGGCAAGGGCAGUACUCAGAGUCAGGUGAGGUGGAUGGAUUCCAGGCUGCCACCUGGAAAGGGUAACCACAGUUCUCCAAGGUGUCAGACAAGCAACAAGACCUGGUGUCAGGCUCCUUACAAAGAUGGUGGGAAUUAGGUAACCAAGGCAGAGGGCAGAUGGGGCAGGAGCUGGAGGAAGGCUGUACCUAGGUCUGCUGCAUUGCAGAACUCUGUGGCAGCUCUGCCUGCAGCUUGGUGGUCACCCAGGAGCCCGAGUGAGCCCCAGGCUCCUUAUACCUCCCUGAUACCUUGUCAGCUAAUGACAGCCACUGGGGGAGAGGAAUCUCCUUGUAUGGGGAAGUGCACCUCGCCCCUUACCUCACCUUCCAGGGCUAAGACAUCUGGUAUGAUCCUUGAUCAGGGCCUGAGAUGCUGACCUGCCAGUGCCGAGUCAGGACUUGAGGUGGAUGGUGGGUCUCGAGGCCACACCUGCAUGGUGCACGGCCUGUGCUGCCUUUUGCCUGGGUCCGGUAUCCGGAAACCCAGGUGGACAUUGGGUGCUGAGCCACACCUGCAUGGUGCAAGGCCUGUGCUGCCUUCUGCCUGGGUCCAGUAUCCGGAAACCCAAGUGGACAUUGGGUGCUGAGCCACAUCUGCAUGGUGCACGGCCUCUGCCGCCUUCUGCCUGGGUCCAGCAUCCAGAAACCAGAGUGGACCCAGCCACUAAAGAUAUUUUAUCCUAUAGAUUUGUCACAAAUUGUAGUUGGACCCCAAGGGGUCCUGAGAGCUAGAAGGGCCCAGACAUCUCAUUUUUUUCUUGCCUCUACUUUGAUUUCAGGGUCUUUCCAAGGUCACUCUGUUAGCUUCAAAGUGUAGCCCUCCCCAUGUAGUGAGGGCUUAUAAUUGUAUGCUGUCUUGGCAUCCACACUGAAUGGAGGUGAAACUUUCUCAGACCAGAGGCAGAGGACUUAGUGUCCCUGAUGGUUUCCGGUUUUGCACCACACCCAUGUGGCUUCAGUCAGUGGCCAGAGAUAGGAAUUUAGACUCACCUCCCCCAGCCAGCAGACUGGGCUCGCCACUUUCUUGCUGCUCCCUUUAAAUAGACCAUCCAGGCAUUUACUCCGACCUUAAUUAAGUGAUCCCACACCCCAUUCUGCAAGACACACUGCCAGUUGCCACCCUCUCUCCUCUUGCUCCCUAACCUCCCAGGACCCAUAGGAACUGAAAACUCUUCCACUUUUACAUGUGACUAUGUCAUGGAAGCUGCUCCAAAGUCUGACCCCUGAGGCUGCCCAGAGGGGCCCCAUGCAUGGGGUUCCUGGCUGGAGCACUUCUGUCUGGGCUGCAGGUGGCUGCUGAAGACAGCAGCCCCCAGCCAAGGUGAUCAAAAGUUUCGUUCAAAACACCCCGUCAUGACCCUUUUUGGCUUUGUCUAGAAAUUCUCAUUCCUAUCUUGUUCUUACUGGUGAUAGCUGUGUUUCUUUCACUUUCCCCUUCCUAGCCAGGAAAAACACUUGUGGGCCUAUCAGACAGCAUUGCUUCUGAGGACAGCUGUGUGCCCAUGAACCCAGGCUCCCCCGCCCUGCCGGCUGUGGAGCAAGCAGGCGAUGAUUCCCAGGGUGUCUGCAUCUCUGUGGGCUCAUGUCUUGUUUGCUUUGACCUGCUUGGCUCCCCACUCACAGAGCUUUCUAUGCACCAAGACCUCAGCCAGGGACAUGAGGUCCAGCUGCCCCCUGUCAACCACAGCCUGAAGCCUAACCGGAAAGGUAAGUCUUUCCCCAUUCUAUCUAUUGACAAUGUCCAGGGACUCUGCAUUCGCUUAGGGGUCAGGUGGAUCCUGGAUGUGGAACGUCUGACUUUGGCAAGUCAUGUGAAUUCUCUGAGCCUCAGUUUUCUUCUCUGUGAAAUGGAGAUAGUAACUCCUACUUCUUGGGUUUGUUUGGAAGGAGAGUGUCUGGGACAGUGGCCCUGCCUCACAGCAGGUGUCCAGUGAAGUUUGGUCUGUGCCCUCCACGUGUAGACCAGGAAGAAGAGCUAGAGUUCAGGUUCCAGGCUGCCAUGACCUCACCUUGUGGCCUUGGCCCAGCACAGGGUUCAAGGAAGAAGUGGGAUAACUGGGUGGGUAUUAGUCCUGUGGGUCUAGCCACAGGGAACCAGACCCAGCGAGUGGCGCUGGAGCCUCAGCACCUCAUGGUGUCUACCUGCUUCCAUGGUGGGCUACACAGCCCUGUCCAAGGCAAGCAAGGGCAGGCAUAGGGACUAAAUCCAUUUCAAACAUUGCGUCUGUUUUUUAUAUCAAGUCAAAUUUAGGCAGAAAAAUCUAUUGUCAGACUAUGAGUCCCCAUUUUGGAUUCUGAAAAUACAGUGGCUAUAGAUACAGUGGGAGGAGCAUAUGAUCUGGAAUCUGAGAACAGAACUCUAAGGCCCUUCAGCAUGACCCAGCUGAUACAGCCGUGCCAAACCUCAGUCCCCCGCACACAGCUGGGUGGAUGGGCUGGGUCUUUCUAAGCACACCUGGGCCUUGUAGCAAAGUGGACAUGGGUGUGGUGUCAUCACUGGCUGAUGACUGAAGGUUCUUUUCCUGCUCCAGCAAACCCAACACCGCCCAACCUGAGAAACAACAGGGUCAUCAAUGAGCUCUCCUUCAAGCCACCUGUCACAGAGCCCUGGUCUGGUACCAGGUGAGUGUCUGUCAGUGGAAACAGGAGCUUGGGACCGGGCCGGUGGAGGGGUGAGUGGGAUGGUGAUUGGCUUGUGGUCAGGAUAACCGGAUGCUGAUGUUGAUGUGGACAUAGCUGACCCUGUCUCCGUCCCAUGAGGUGUGACGGCCUUCUCAUCUGUAAAGGGGGAAUAAUGACCCCUGCCCAUAUCAGUUCUUGAUCUGGUAACAGUGUGAGGCCCGGAUGCUUGAAGUCAGGGCUCAGCUGGAGGCUGGAGCCCUGACAGCAGCCCUAAGCCCCACCCAGGAUGUACUCCUUGCCUUCUUCCCACAACAGCGACACCUUUGACUCCAGCUCCUCCCAACACCCCAUCUCCUUGCAGAGCAUCACCAACACAGACUCAGAAGACAGUGGAGAGAGGUAUAUUUUCCUGGUGAGUCCUUGGGGGUCACUGUAAGGCUCCUAUCAGAGUCCCCUGGGACCCACACUCAUGUUCCCGCUUCCCAGCUUAGCUACCUCAGCUGACCCACCCCAGCCCAGUCAGGUGUGAUUUGGUCUCCUAUUGCAAACCCUUCUUGAGCACAGGUGUAUCAGGCAAUCAUUAGGGUUAGGAAGAUGAUGGUCUCCCCUCAAGGAAGUCUAGAACUUGAAGAGCAGAGGCAGCCCACCUCGCCCUCAUGACGGUGAUACAGGUGGUGCCCUGCCCUGGAAGAGGCAGAGUUGGAGGUGUCUGCUUGGCCAUGGGGAGACACCCAUGUACAUGCCUCACCCUGGUGAGGGCUGUGAGAGACGUGGAGAUGCAGGUGGAACACAGGAUACCCCUUAGGUUGGCACUGAAGAGGGCAUCAUGACCAGCACUUGAUAGUUGCUGCACAGAUAUCGGAAGAAUGAGCCAGCCAGCAAAGCAGCCAAAACCCAGAGCCCAGGGUGGCCACUUUUCUCACUAGAGCCAGACUUCAGGAAUGUCCCAGCAAGGUGGCAGCCUUCUAGGGAGGAGGCUGCAGGACCCCGCAUAUCUCCUGGAGAGCUGCCAAGGGAGCAGGCUCCAUGCCGCCUCGGGUGGUGGGCACUGCCAAUCUCUGGGAGCUGGAGGGGGAGGCAGCUGCUUCAUAGGAUGGACCCACUCUGGGCCAUGGGUGGGAGUUUCAGAUGACUGACUGGGUGCAGCAUCCAGUGUGUGAAGGAGAGGCACAGUAGUAACACCUGGCUCACAGGACUGCUGAGAGGGUUUGAAUGAGCAGAGAGUGCCCCAGUGCAUGGCUCAGAGUAGGACCCAGUGGGCUCGUAGCUACGCCCACAGGUGUGUUCCACUGGGUGCUGGGUCUGUCUGUGUCCUAAACUCAUUUGCAGGAUUUUCCUCCUUGUGACAGCAGAACCCGGCAUCUGCAUUUCCUGUUUCCGGUGGCACCAGCAGUUCAGCCCCGCCGAGGAGCACUGGUAACAUCCAUUACGUGGCCCUGGACUUCCAGCCGAGCAAGGUGCCUGGGGUGGAGCUGGGGUUGGGCCCUGGGGGAGAGACUGUGGGGCCAGGCCCUUCAGCACCGGCAGCACCAGGCUGCUGGGCCGCCACUCCCAGCCUGGUGCCUGGCUCUUAUGCUCAGUGGUGCUCUGAUCUGGAUAUCGGGGCUCCUGUUCCUUCCCUCUCAGUGUGGUGCCUUCAUCAGCCUGCCCUGACUCCCCGUAGAGACAGAUGACUGUGUGGAGACCUGAUCUGUGGAGGUUGCGAAAUAAAUCAGGAGAGACCCAGGACCGGCAACCUGGCUCCAGGCCAAACUCUUCUGUGAGGAGAACUCACUGUGUGGGAGGGUUUCAGAGCCCGGCCAUUGAUGCAGGGGGCCUCAGAAGGAACUUCUGGGCCCAGGAAAGCCUCCCGAGAAAGCACAUGUAGCCAGCCUGUCUAGACAGCAGGGUGGAGAGCUCCACCUCUGUGCAUUGCCCUCCUUGGGGAGAUAGGGCUCACCAAGGGCACCCCUGGAAAGGCCUAGGCUGGUGCUUGUUGACACCUGGGAAAUUUCCUGCCAUGGAUGAGUGUUUAGAGGGGAAGGCCUUGGCCAAUCCUUGGGCCAGAGAAGGGCCUGGCUCUUCCUGCGAGGUGGGAGAUGAGAAGUGCUGGCCAGGGCUAUGGCAUCCAGCAGGAGGAGAGGUUAGCCUGGAGUUGAGGCUUUAAAGCCCAGGCCUCCCAGGCUGCUGAGAGCAGGAGGCAGAGGUUCCUUUCCCCCUGAGAAAGUUUGGGAGAGCCCACUCCUUGGCCUGCCCUUCCUCACCAGGACCUCACAGACACUCCCACUCCCACUUCCACCCUCUGUCCCUCAGCCAUCCAUAGGCUCUGUGACGUCCGGCAAGAAGGUGGACUAUGUCCAGGUGGAUCUGGAGAAGACCCAGGCCCUGCAGAAGACCAUGAGUGAACAGAUGUGCCUGCGGCAGUCCUCGGAGCCUCGCAGGGGUGCCAAGCUGUGACUCGGGCCACCAAAACCAGAGCGGGGCCAGGACAGUGCCUCAGAGCUGCUCUUCCACACUCUAAAGCUCUGUAAUAUCAGGGACCGCAUCCCUUACCCAGAGAGCAGAGGCCUGAUCAGUAUACAUCCUUUGCCUGCUUGGGGCCCACCUGUGCCUUUGGCUGGCCAUGGUCCCCACCUUCACCCCCUUAAACAUGAAGAUGAACAGCCGAAAGCCACAAGAAGCAGGGCUGGAGCUCCAGAGACUGGGGUGACAAGGACCAGGGUCAGGGCCCCAGAAAUCUGGAGCUGCAGGUUGGCUUUGCUGCUCUCUGCCGAUGCUCCUUGGGGGGCCCUUGCCUGCCUAAGAAGGCUUGAUCCCAGCUGGGCAAAGCAGCAACUGAUGGGGGACAUACCUGCAGGAUGAGGGGUGGGAUGGCGGAGGGAGCGAGGGAGGAAGGGAGCAUGUGCAGAUGGAGAUGGCUCAGGGCUGAGGGGGUCCUGGGACAGGCAGGGGCCCAAGGCGGGGCCCAGGAAUCUGCAGUGCAGGUGGUGCAGCACGUGACCUUCUGUGAAGGGGGAGCAGUGGGGAGAGCACAGAGGGAACCCAUGGGAGGCAAAGUCGGGGAGACAGCCAGGGAGAAGUGGGGAAAUGUGGCUGGGGGCCCUGGGGGCAUGCCAGAAGUGGUGAAAGGAAUACAGGAGCAGAAGGUGAAGGGGGGUCCGCUGUGCACGGGAGCAGUGUGGGAGGCCAGCUGGAGGGGUGUCUGGGAUGCGGAUAGAGCCUGCAGGGAGGACGGCCUGGGGUGGGGCUGGGGCUUGAAAGUUUUUGACCAAAAUUUCCAAGAGUUUCAGAAUGAACAGGGCAGAGCAGACGCUUCAUCCUACCUUGGGGUGAAUAGACUUUCCUCCUCCAAAAAAUGACUGCCCACAGGGUUUGAUGGAGGCGGCCUCCACACCCUGUCAGCACCUGUGAGCACCACACUUCACCAGACCAGGGGCCUGGCUGGCUUCUGGGGAUCCAUCCCUCAGCAGGAGCCGUCUCCCCUGGCAGCUCAAAGGCUCAGGUGGCAAGGCCCCGGGCUUAGGCACUGAGGACACGGGGAAUCUAUCAGACCUUUUCCCAAACUUGACAAGGUCACAUCAGUGAGGGAAAGGACAAGGACACAGGCAGUGGUGAUGGAAAAGAUGGGCUGAGGAUGCUGAUGGGGUGCACAGGAAGUGAAAACUCCUCAGAGAGUGGAGGCAGAGAAGGUGGUUUUUAGGACAAGGGGUGCCUGAAUUAGGCUUGAGAGGUUAGGUCAGAUUUUUGCAGGGAAGGAGGGCAGGGCCAGGGUGCAGUGGAGGAAGAAGGAACGACAGACUGGAAAAGCCUUGUGCUGAGGGGCCACAGGAGCUUUGGAGGGCAGGUCCAGCUGCUCUGAACUGCAGGGGCCAGGCCUUUGUGCUCCCACAGGUGGAAUGGUGAUGGCCGUGUGGCCACACUGGGCAGAGUGUGCAGGGUACUGGCUCACUGGCCCAGCCCUGACUGUGUCCCUGUAAGGUCCUCUACAAGGGGUCCCAUACAGCGCAGCUCUUAACUGCCAUCCCCUGUCCCCAGCUGACUACAGUGGGGCCCAGUAUUGAUCUCAGCUCCCAGCCCAGCCACCUUCCCUGUUGAUCCCAGGCUGCUAAGAAAGUGCUGCGUGUUCUGUAUGCGUGGUGUGCGUGAACCUGGUGGAGGCUUCGGAGACUGAGGUGUUCAAGUCCCAUCUCCAGAGGGGUUCCUUCCAGCUCUUGGUUCCUGUGACCACCAAAACCCUGACGGUGAAAGUAGGGGUGGAGAUGGAAAGAAGGACGAGAAGAGGACGCUGGCCUAUUGGAAGCAAAGCUCUACUCCCAAGCCUGGACUCCAGCCAUGUCUAGCAUGUGUCCACCCCUCCACCCGCCAUCCCAGAAGGAAAAGUCAACUCAGCUUAAUACAGGGGUCCUUGGACCUAUCUUGAGGUAACCUCCCCUGGUGGCCUGGCCAGGACUGAGACCCCAAAAAGGGACACCUCAGCCAAUGCAGCCCACAUGGGGGCUUGUCCUGCUGGGCUUUCCAGGGGAGCCGUCUUCACCCAUCCCCACCACCUGCAAAGUUAGAGAGCAGUCAGGUGGGAACGAUGAGAAACGGGCAAGGACAUCUCCCUAGGACCUUGCUUUCCCAUCUGUGGAGUGGGUGGUUGGAUUCGACGUUUUCUGGCCCCUUCCUAGGCUGAGGCUCUGCUGGUCUCAGGGAGCUCCUUGCUCUGUUACUUCUCUCUGGUAUCACGGAAUCUAUCUUCCUCAUCUGUAAACUGGACAUUGUGCUAGCACCUGCCAGUCCGUCUUUCUUAGAAGGGAGUCUAGAGGUGGGUUCUGAGAGGGCUUCAUCUGCGUCUGUGUCCACUGGGCCCCUGGCAACAGGUCCCUGAGGUCUGACAUCUCACAACUCCCCUCCACUGCUCCACCCACUGCACAAGUGGGGCAGCCCUUAAGGUCCCUUAAGGUGCCUUUUCACCUUCCGUGUUCUCCCAAAUGGCAAUGUAGGCAUGGUGCUCGCGGACCCUGUGGUAAAGGCUGCUCUCAGGCCCUGUACAUGCCCCACUUCUCUGCUUCAACUCUAGGACGGGGUGGGACCCAGGAAAGGAGCCAGGUUGCGGGCUCUGGAGUGGGAAACGUGGUGAGGGCUGAUCCUGGGCUCUGCGAGUGUGGCUGCCCCUGCGUUUCUGUAGCUCCAGGAUGGGAUGGUGCCUGUGGUAAGGAGCUAGGUGUAGGCAUGGUAGGUGCACCAUGGCCCUGUGGUAACAGCUGGUCCUGGGCCCUGCCAGUGUGGCUGCUCAUGUGCUCCUCUCCAGCUCCUGGAUGGUAUGGUGUCCAUGGGAAGGAGAUGGGUUUGAGUUCUGGAGAAACGGGGCUGCCUCCCAGCUAGCCCUGACCCGUGCCAAGUCCAGCUCUGGAGAUGUGACAACCCCCACUCAACCUCCCCAGCUUCUCAGAUGCAAAGAAAGAGGAAUGUGGCAUCUGCAACAGGUGUUUGUGGGCAGUCCAGAAUUCUUGGGUCUGAAACAUCUCCAGUUAUUUAUUUGGGUUUCAAGUGCACCUGAGAGGUGAGUCCCCUCCACAGUAUUCCACUGGGAUCCCCCAUCCUGUGCACCCUUCCUCUCUCUUGCAUUCCAUCCUCUAGGUCCUCCCAGCCUCAGAACUAGGCAAGUCCUUCAGCACACAGGGCUGUCACUCCAUGCUGUAUCUCAAGUGAUGGGGACAGGGGUAUGUCCUCUCCUUACCAAGGAGGAGCAUGGGUCCCUAUCAUGCUGCCCAGAUGCAGUGAGGAAAUCGAGGGUACAGCAUACAGGAAGAGCAACAGCUUUCAAAGGCUUCAGAGAGGCUGGUUUCAUACUGUUUGAGAACAAGGGUCUUUCUCUUCACAGAAAAGAGGCUAUAGCAAGGUCAAGGCACAAGAAGGUCACUGGUCUGCCCCUGCUCAGCCCUCAGGUACUGCUCUGGUUGUCCAUGGCUGAAACUCAUCCUGCUGGCCAAAGCCUUUGCUGUUCCAGUUGUUAAAUGUUUUGACACCACCCUUAACUCUAAAGGGUGGAGUCACAGGCACAGUUAGGAGGUAGAACUAACCUCCCACUGACACUUGGCCAUUCACACUCGUAGAACAGCACACUAUGCCUGAGUCUUUUUGUCCAACUUUAAUUUACAAUCAAGAUAUAUGUGUAGGUUUGUUACAUGGGUAUAUUGUAUGGUGCUGAGGUUCGGAGCAUGAGUGAAUCCAUCACCCAGGUAGUGAGCCUAGAAACCCAUAGGUAGUUUUUGUCAACCCUUACGCCCCUCCCUCUCUCCUCGCUCUUGUAUUCCCAAAAGUCUGUUGCUCCCAUUUUUAUUACCAUGCAUACACAAUGUUUAGUUCCCACUUAUAAGUGAGAACGUGAUAUUUGAUUUUCUGUUUCUGCAUUUGUUUGUUUAGGAUGAUGGUUUCCAGCUGCAUCCACAUGGCAGCAAAGGGCUUAAUUUCAUUCCUUUUUUAUAGGUGUGUAGUACUUCAUAGUGUACAUGUGCCACGUUUUAUUUAUUCUACCCAUAAUUGAUGGGCACCUGGGUUCAUUCCAUGUCUUUGCUUUUGUGAAAAAAAAACCUACCAUUGAACGGUAGUUCUGUUUUAAGUUCUCUGAGAAAUUUCCACACUGCUCUCCACAGUGGUUGAACUGACUUAAAUUCACAUUAACAGUGUAUACCCACUCCUUUUUCAACAGCCUCAUCAAUGUGUUAUUUUUUGACUUUUUAGUAAUAGCCAUUCUGACUGGUAUGAGAUGACAUCUCAUUAGGGUUUUGAUUUGCAUUUCCCUGAUAAUUAGUGAUGAUAAGCAUUUUUUUCAUAAAUAUUCUUGUAUGUCUUUUUUUGAGAAGUGGCUGUUUAUGUCCUUUGCCUUCUUUUUAAUGGGGUUAUUUGCUUUUUGCUUGUUCAAUUGUUUAAAUUACUUAUAGAUUCUGGAUACUUGACUUUUGUUGAAUGCAUGGUUUGCAAAUACUUUCUUCCGUUACGUAGGUUGUCUGUUUACUUCCUUGAUAGUUUCCUUUGCUGUGGAGAAGCUCUUUAGUUAAUUAGGUCUCACUUGUUAAUUUUUGUUUUUGCAGCAAUUGCUUUUGAGGACAUAGCCACAAAUUAUUUGCCCAGGCUUAUAUUUAGAAGGAUAUUUCCUAGGUUUUCUUAUAGGAUUUUCAUUAGUUUCAGUCUUUCACUUAAGUCUUUAAUACAUCUUGAAUUAAUUUUUGUAUGUGGUGAUAGGUAGGUGUGAUGUUUAAUAAUGAGUAUUAAUAAUAACUUGACUGGAUUGAAGGAUGCAAAGUAUUGUUCCGCAGUGUGUCUGUGAGAAUGUUGCCAAAAAAGAUUAACAUUUGAGUCAGUGGACUGAAAGAGGCAGGCCCACCCUCAAUCUGGGUGGGCACCAUCUAAUCAGCUGCCAGUGCAGCUAGGAUAAAAGCAGGCAGAGGAACAUGGAAGGACUAGACUGGCUGAGUCUUCUGGCCUUCAUCUUUCUCCCGUGCUGGCUGCUUCCUGUCCUUGAACACUGGACUCCAAGUUCUCCAGCUUUAGGACUCUUGGACUUACACCAGUGGUUUGGCAGGGGCUCUUGGGCCUUCAGCCACAGACUGAAGGCUGCCCCGUCAGCUUCUCUACUUUUUAGGUUUGGGGACUAGGGCUGGCAUUUUUGCUUCUCAGCUUGCAGACGACUUAUUGUGGAACUUCACCUCAUUAUUGUGUGACUUAAUAAUCUUAAUAAACUCCGUUUCAUAUGUACAUCUAUCCUACUAGUCCUGUCCCUGUAGAGAAUGCUGACUAAUACAGUAGGGGUCCAGUUUUAUUCUUCUGCGUAUGCAUAGCCAGUUACUCGGGACCAUUUAUUACAUAGAGAGUCCUUUCCCCAUUGCUUAUUUUUGUUGACUUUGUUGAAGAUCAGGUGGUUGUAGGUAUGCAGCUUUAUUUCUGGCCUUUAUAUUUUGUUCCAUUGGUCUAUGUGUCCAUUUUUGUACCAGUCAGUAUUAGGUUACUGUGUCCCCGUAGCAUAGUUUGAAGUUGGGUAGUGUGAUGCCUGCCACUGUUUUGUUUUGCUUUCUGUUCUGUUUUGUAUUCUUUUUUUUUGCUUAGGCUUACUUUGACUAUUCAGGUUUUUUGUUGUUGUUCCAAAUGGAUUUUAGAAUAAUUUUUCUAAUUCUGUGAAAAAUGAUGUUGGUAGUUUGAUGGGAAUAACAUUGAAUCUG